UGUCUUAGAUAGGUUAACAGAUUAGUUGCUGCUAAGUGGAUAUAGUAUGUGUGUGCAUGCGUGUCUCUUUUCAGAAAUCCCCACAACUAAAAUGGUUCCAAUUUUAUGUCCCAGGCUUGUGUUCACACCUUUUAUUGGCGCAGUCCUUAGGUUUUUGAAUUUUUAGACAUAUCUGGCAUUUUCUAGUUUGAUAUUGUGCUAUUACAAAAUAUGGACAACUUUGUGAGUCAUGGGGUAAAUUGUUGAUUGUUCUUGGUGCUUUAGCUCUGUAUAAGUUAGGUCUUUUUCUACUCUAGAAUUUAUAUAAGCAGGAACACGUAAAUACUAAGUUGUAAUAUCAAUCUGCCUUUAGAUUUGCAACUUUCCAUAGGAUUUAGGCCAGCACUACUUCUCAUUCAUCUUGUGCAUGUGAUUUUUUUUUCUUGUAAUCUGUUCAUUUAAUUUGUGUCUAGAUCCUUCCCCUGGUUGCACCUACAAAGGUGAUAAUGAAAGUGAAAGUCAGUAACUAUGAAUGGCACGAGUUCUUUCCGAAAGGUGAAAUUUUAAUUAUUUCUGGCCGAAGUCCAGAAGUCUUUUGCUUGUUUACUGUGAAGUAUUUAAUCAAGUUUAAGCGCCAACUGUUCUAAAUUUGACUAGGAACUCGCAAUAUUGGUGUUGUCAUUGUUAUAUGGACUCCAGUUGUCAUGGUAAGUGGUAUAGAGCAUUUAGGGAAACACCUAUUUUAACUUGUGAUGAAACAUAAAUAAAGUAAUUGCUAUAUAGGUCUAUUUCAUGGACACUCAGAUAUGGUAUUCUAUUUUCGCCACCAUUGUUGGUGGGAUCAAUGGAGCUUUCAGCCACCUGGGUGAGGUUAGCUAUAAUCUUAUUUGAACUUUAGUAUUUUAAAAAUAAGAAGUAAUUUAGUGGUACAUGACUACUGCAGUAUAACAUUUCACUCUCUAACAUCUAUAUUUAGGUUCGGACACUUGGAAUGCUGCGGUCUCGAUUUGAAUCCGUUCAUUCAGCCUUCCGUCAGCGUCUUCUUCCAUAUUCUAAAGAGAUGGUUAGGAAAGAGCAUAUGGUAAUGCAAUCUUUGUCGUUAUUUUUCUAGUUUUGGGAUCUGUAAUGCAAGUUUGUACCCGUGGGAUGCUUUGUGUAUGUGGCUUUUAUGCAUAUACUAUCCUAACACUGAAAACAUUUGAAAAGGAUUUCAAAUCAUGUGACUGUCACCCCGAACAAUUUAUUUUGCCUUUUGGUAUCCAAGGCAGACAGUAGACACUUAUUUUAGGCUAAAAAAUGGGAAUAUUUUUCCAAAAUAUAGCAGAGUCUGACACUUGGACAUGUAGUCAUAUUAGAAACUUACGGACUUGUUACAAAGACAUGCAAUGCAUACAAACAUACACACACAUUUCGAUAUUAUAUGAUAUGCUUGGAACACUAAUGACAAUUUUGUUGUCACACCUUUUAAGACGGUUGUUUUGGUAAAAGCAUUUAGCAAUAAAUUGUAAUAAGUGGGAAAACAUUCUUUAACUUUGAAAGAAUUGUAUGUCAACAAUAGUGAUCCAAGAGAAUUCACUUCACUUUGAACAUUAAAUCGUAUUAUUUUGUCCGUAAAAAUAAGCAAAACCCGGUUGUUUUUUGGAAUCAGGCUUAAGUUAGUACUUAGCGUGCAAGAAAUUAUGGAUUUUUAUAUUUAGCGUAAUUAUCAAUAUGGUAUAAGCAUGGCCUGCAUUUUAUAUGCACAAACUUUCAAGUACUGACUAACCUCAGUCAAAUUUGGACGGAGGGACGCGAAUCAGAAUUUUUGAAAAUUAAGAUACUGAAACAUUUUAUUUUAUGGUAAAGGGACCUAGACCAUAAAAGGUCUAAGUUUAAGGACAGAAGAAUUUAUUUUUACUUUAUAUAUAUGCUUUUCUUGUACCUUCGCUUUGAAUAUUUUAUAAUAAUCUGCAAACACUACAAUGUCAGGAUGAUCCAAUGGGGAAAAAGAACUCAGCCAAAUUCGCCCAGGUGUGGAAUGAAUUUAUUUUCUCUAUGAGGAUGGAGGAUCUGGUUAGCAAUAGGUUGGGACUGCCUCCUCAAUUCAUGUGUCUUCUUAUAUAUUAUUAUAUGAGCACAUUUGAUAAGUUAUACUGAGUUAUAUGUCUUAUUUCCCUUUCUCUAUUGACAUAUCUCCAUCUAGUUAUCUGUUUAUCUAUGUUUGAUUGUUUAGAGAGAAGGACCUUCUUCUAGUGCCGUAUUCAUCCACUACCACAGUCUCUGUUGUGCAGUGGCCUCCUUUUUUGCUAGCUAGCAAGGUGGGAAAUCAAAGUUUGUGUUAUGCAUUUAAAUAUGCAGCAGACUUAUUCAACUUGCUUCUUGUUUCUUUUUUCAGAUUCCGAUUGCACUAGACAUGGCAAAUAAUUUUAAGAGGAAAGAUGAUGCUGAAUUGUUUAGGAAGAUUACUGCUGAUGAUUAUAUGCGUUCAGCUGUGAUUGAAUGCUAUGAAACACUCGGGGAGGUACUAUAUGGAUUUCUUGAAGAUGAAGAGGAGAAAAUGUAAGAUUAUUCAAAAUACCUUCUUCGGUUAUUCACUGGGGAUACUAAUACCUUCUUUGGGUUAUUUCAUAGAGGAUAGUAAUUCUUUAAAUAUAUAUAUUUUACUAAGAAAGCCAACGAACUUCCUCAAAAUAUUUUUAAUAUAAAGGCUUCACCACUUCUCAUAAUUUUUUUAGAUAUAGUAGCACAUAAAAUCUAUCAAAAUUCAAAAUUAAAAAAAUUAUCUAUACAUUUCCAUCUUUCAUGAAGCAUCUUCGGAUAUAACUAAAUAAUGAUAGUUUCCACUGCGUACAGGAAAUGCUUAAAACCAGAUAUUUGCCUCGCUGUCAUGAUUUAAAUUUAAUAUGAUAAUGUAAUGUAAUAAGAACCUCAUUGACUCUUGUAUUUGUGUUCUUUUCGCGAAAUCAUUGUGUAUUGUUACACACUUAAUGAAUUAUCCUCAAGAAUCGGUUUCAUAGUCUAUUUUGCUCCUCCAGGAUUAUUAGGCAGAUUUGCCGUGAAGUAGAUGUUAGCAUACAACAGAGAAAAUUUCUAAGUGAAUUCCGGAUGAGUGGUUUGCCUCUACUUAAUAACAAGCUGGAGAAGUUCUUAGAGCUCUUGGUAAUAUGUUUGUUACAGCUAAAUACACCACCGACUUUACUUUAUCAUAUGCAUAUACAAACUUUUUAUUUUGUGGAAUUGCUGAUCAUGGAAAGUUGAUCAAAUAAAGGACAUAAUAUUGUAUAUCUGCAGCUAAAAGAUUAUGAUGAUGAAGAGUCAUACAGAUCCACAGUUAUUAACAUUCUCCAAGAUAUUAUGGAGAUUAUCACCCAGGAUGUUAUGAAUAAUGGGCAUGAGUAAGUGAUGAAUGCCAACAAACUAGUUAUUGUGAAAUUUCUUUAAGAAUCAUUUGUGUGUAUUUUCUUUCAUAUGAUUUAUGAGUUUUGACUUGCCUCUCCACUCAUAAUAGAAUUCUUGAGAAGUCUCAUCAAAUUGACACACAUAAUGAACAUGAUAAAAAGCAGAAGUUUGAACGGAUAAAUAUUCAUCUUGCUAAGAAUCCAACCUGGAGAGAGAAGGUACAUGUUUAUAAUUUAUUAUAGUAGAUUCAGCACUACUUUUUAUACUGUCAUUCUUUAAAAGAUUUUUUUUUUUUUUGGGAUAGGUUGUGAGGCUUCAUUUGCUUCUCACAGUUAAGGAAUCUGCAAUAAAUGUGCCUAUGAAUUUGGAUGCACGUCGACGCAUAACCUUUUUUGCAAAUUCCUUGUACAUGAAGAUGCCAAACGCUCCAACAGUUCGUGCAAUGCUCUCUUUUAGGUUAGUUCAGUAUGAGUCUUAGCUCCUACUCGUAUAUUCUUAAACACUACUCAUGUGUUAUACCUUUUAUUCCCAAAGUUAUUGAAGUUAACAUUCUAACUACGAAAUCUGUCUUCAUAAUUCUUAGCCUAUAAUUGCCCUUUAAAUUGAGGAAAAAAUUAAUAUCGAUACAGAUUUAUCUACAAAAUUUUCUAUAUAAUGUAUAGGAAAAGGGGAUCUAAAAUGAAUGUGUCGUUGAAGUCACGUAUUAAUAUCAGAAUUAGGUCACCUUUCUCUCUCAUCAAGAUCGUGAAAGGUAAUAAGUAUAAUUGGUUACAUCCACAUAGAGAUAGAUUACAGACAUGUGCACCAUUCAGUCCAUUAAGUCUUAAUAACUAGGUUAUACCUGUGAUGCUUGGACUCUCCAUCUAACCUUGCCACACCUAUGUCGACACGAUACAACCUGGACAUGAAAUCCCGAGCCUUGUUAAAUGAGUUCGAGCUACUUGUGUGCCGCUCAACUCAAAUUAUAGCCCUAGGAUAAGGAGGAAGUAAUUUUUUUUUUUUUUUUAAGGUAAUCUCUUCCCCGGGAUUGGUGGCGCCUGACCUGAAGUUAGUUUGAUGUUUAGCUAUAGUGUAGUAAUUUUUCAAUCUUUGUGUUCUCGUAAAUUAGGGUAUGUGACAUUAUGAACAUAAUAAAAAUAUUAUAUAUUUAAUAAUUUUUAAUAUAGCAUCCAAAUUAAUUAUAUAAAAUCUUGCAAAUAUUCUUAUAUUUGUAUUUGACUUUUAGGCACACUGUUAAAAAAAUAUAAUUUAAUAGAAUGGUGUAUUUAGUAACUUGGAUUUUAUAUGAAAUCUAGGAUAUGGUCAAAUGUAUGUUUGGAUAAACGAAAGAAUUUGAAUUUGGUUUCAGUUGAAAUCCAAGAUAAUUAAAUACUACUAUAGAACUACGAAACUUGUGAUACCAAUGAAGUCACAUCAUUUGAAAUCAAGCAUUUGAAAUAAUUACAUGUUUCCAAAUACAAUCUAAUGUAAACCACAAUUUUCUUUAUCCAAAUUGGGGUGUUGGUUUCCUAAGAAAUGUGCAUUCUUUGAAUUUUGGUGUUCGAAGAAUCUAACACUUGAAUACUUUACUCAAGAGGCUAUCGUUGCAGAACAAUUCUGUAAUAAUAUAACCGCAAGUGAAUAGUCUUACACGAUUAUAAAGGCAAGUGCGGGUAUAACCUUAGAAAACGUGAAUCAAGUUUCUAAUAUAUAUAAUAUUACAAGAACAAAUUAAAACCUUCAAAAUAUUGGGUUCCCUUACCACAUAUAAUAUUCACGACAUGGUGUGUGUGUGUGUAGGGCAUUGCUCACAAACGAACACCCUUAAAAGAAAAACAAAGAGGAACGCUUUAGAAGCGAACAUAGAAUCUCAUCUAAAACAAGAAUUAAAUUUUGAUUUUAAGCUAAUUAACCUUUUAUUAUGAAUAAUAAUGGUAUCUAACAUGUUUAACAACAAUUAUGAAUUAAAAAUAAUAUGAUUCCAUGUGAUAUUAAUCAUGUAAAGAAUAUAUAUAUGAUUCUAUUCAGGAUUCUGUUUUGGAUUCUAUUCUGGAUUCUAUGAUAUUUCAUAAAAAUAAUUUGGAUGAGUCUGGAUGUUAGUUGUCAUAUAUUAAGUUUAGUUAGUGUUUAACUAUGUAAUUAUAAUCUUAACAAAUCAUUUUUUAUGAAAAAUAAAGUGUUAUGAUAGUGUUCUGUGUUGUUUUUUUAAAGUGUACUAUGUGUAGUGCAACCCUAUAUAUAUAUAUAUAUAUAUAUAUAGAGAGAGAGAGAGAGAGAGAGAGAGAGUCAUGCUCCACUACAAACCUUCUUAUUUUAGAAACUAAAAACCCAGCUGAAUUAUCACUUAACUCUAGGAAGAGUAUCACUAAAUUCUCCCACAACCCCACCUUCUCCUCCAACCCAGCCUGCCUCCACCUUCACUUCCAGCAACUUCAUGCCGCCACCCCAUCCAUGUCUGCCGCCUCUCCAUGUUUGUCUCCACCGUAUCUACAACCAACGAAUCCAACCCACCUCCACCACCUCCACCUGCGUCACCUCCACCUCCGUCGUCCUCACCUCCAUCAUCUUCCCCGAUAUACUCCAAUUUUAAAAACCUAAUUCUGUCUAUUUAUCAACUACAGAACAGAGCAACCUGUUAAAUCCGCUGAAAUUGUUGCUCCAUUAACCCUUCCAUGUCCACCACCUUCAUCUCCACCCCCGCCUCCACCAUCUCCACCACCGCCACCACCACCAGAAUCAAGUACAAGAACAAAUCUGCAGAGUUUCCUCGAUUUCUGGAAAUUUUGCAACACAGAUCACUAAAUUCUAAAGAGAAUAUGACUAAAUUGUACUGAGAAUAACACUAAACUGAAUUGGUUUUUAGUUUUUAUUUUAAAGAUGGAAUCUAUUUGAUCAUGAGCCUAUAUAUAUAUAUAUAUAUAUAUAUAUAUAUAUAUAUAUAUAUAUAUAGGGAUAGGAUCAAAUAAAAACUUUUUUAAGUUACUAACUUACAAACUUUUUUUUUUGAAUUUUUUUAUUCACCCAUCGUGUUAAUCCUUAGUUAUAGAAAGUAUCCAUAUUGAAAAUUCUUGAAAAAACAUCACAAUUUUUAAAAAUAAUGCAUAAAUAAAUCGUGCAUUCAACACAUUUUUAACUGGGGUUCAACAUCGGUUGUAGGAACACCAAUUAUCAUUGUGUUGAAUAUAUCUAUAAAGAUGCUUAAACUAUACCUCUGGGGUUUAGGUAGGGUCUAGAAACAUAAAUAUUAGUUAUAUAAUACGUUUAACUUAAUUCUUACAUUAAAAAAUUAGUUUAUGUACUUCUCCAACACAAUUUUAAUCGAUGUUCAACAAAAUAUGUUAAAAAAAUGUUGAACUCAAAUUAUAUAUAUGUUGAACGCAUAAUGUUUGUAAGUUUGUAAAUAUCUACCAGAACCCACCCACAUAUAUAUAUAUAUAUAUAUAUAUAUAUAUAAAUACAUACAUACAUACAUACAUACAUACAUACAUACAUACAUAUAUAUAUAUGUUUAACAACAAUUAAACACAAGCGUUUGGAAUAAAGACAACCAAUGAUUACAAAUCAAAUGAAGUCUAGCUAUACUACGAAUUCCUUACAAACUUGUGUGGAUUAAAUAAUUAAUAUUGCUCACAUGGAUGUAAUAUUGCAUAUGAUUAAUACUCCUGUCCCUCUCAUGUUUUGUGAAUUUUCAAAGUCAUAAUUAUCAGAAGUUGACUAUUGAAAUUUAAAAUUAUUAUUUUAUAUUUUUAUAAAUUCAAAAAAUAACUCUGAUGAAACAUCACAUUAAUUUUUUUGGAAAAUUGUUUUGUAACAUAUAUGUUUAACUAUAUAUAUUAGUUACUCAAAACUUUGUCAGCUUGGACUUUGAAAAGUCAAAUAUAGGACACGUGGAUUGUGAAAAAAAGGAUUAAAAUAUAUACAUAUCACAUAUCGUAUAUAACAUGAAAUACAUGACCCUUUAACUAUGUCAUUUAUUUUAUUUAUAUUGUAUGUUAUGGAACUAUUUAUUUGUACCGUUAAGGAGGUAAUUAUUAUUUUACUAUAUCAAAUAAUAAUUCUAAUGGAGAGGAUUAUGUCGUCACUUGAAAUCACGUGCUUCAAACACUCCCUUUCACUUUACAGCUUCACAACUUUGGCUGAAAGUCCUUAUUUUAUUCAAAGCAUCCCAUACUUUUUGAGCAAAUAUUAUGUCUAAUAGAUUUUUUUUAUUAAGUUGGGUGUGGCUUUAGUUAAUUUUUUAUAAUCUAGCCAAUUUAUUUCUAAUGUUCCACAUACCACAUCAUUAGAUCCUCUACCGCCAAGUGAAAACUACUUAAAAAUACCUGAUGUGUAGUGGGACAUGUAAAUUGAUUGUUAUAUUAAGUCAAUGCAUAGCAAUUCUCAGUGUUCAGAUACAAUAAACUAUCGUACAUAAUACACAUUUUGUACUUAAUUUGAUUGUCAUGGAAUUGAUUUCAAAUUCAGGAACAAUUUUUAGUUCACUGUUCAAAACUAUAUUUAAUAUGGAUAAUAUUAGGAUAAAUGCCCAAAAUACCUAUUCUGAGUGUUUAUAUGCCCAAAACAUCCAUUUUCAGAAACACUGCCCAAAAUACCUACACAUAUUAGACACUCCUUAACUAAUGGAGCAUCAAUGGUUAUACUCCUUGUGGAGCGUCAGUGAUACGCGGUCAUAUAGUCCUUUGUCACUGGAGGAUCACACCUGAUUACUGCUAGUGGAGUAUCACACCUGAUACUCCAUUGAUACUCCACUGGUAUUAGCGUAUUAGUGUAUCAUCCUGAUACUUCUCUGACAGUGGAAUAUCCUUAUUUAGGGCACUAUUCACUAAAUAUUGGUUGUUUGGUCAAAUAUUGGUGAUAACUGGGUAUUGGGCACUCACCCAUAAUAUAAUGUAUUGAGUUUAAAUACUCCUAGUAGUGAUAUACUAUUUUUUAAUAGUGUCUCACAAAUUAUUUUAGCAAAUAAUAUCUCAUUAGCCCCUUCACAUGUGGUGUAACAGUGAGCCGUGUUGAUAAUUUAGGUGCCGAAGUGCAUAACAUGGGCCUUUGACCAAUAAUUGCUGUGGUUCAGAUGAAAGAUAUAGUUAUAUACGGGGCUCAAACUCGGAAUCACACACAAAAAAAAUAUUCGUAUGUGAUAUGUUUUUAAGAGAAAUUAAUUAGUGACUUGGAUUGAACUCUCACUUAUCUUAUAUUCAAUUGGAUUUCAACUCAAAGUUGAUGAUUAAUUAUAAUUGCUUUUAAGAAAAACAUUGAUGCCUUUAAGAGAUCCAACUGCCACCGUAUGUAAAAUUGAGUUCCAGAUCUCAGUUCUCAGAUCUCUUGUGAAAGUUUAUUUAAUUUUUACAAUUUUAAUGAUUGUUGCUUCAACAAUCAAUUUACUGCUUAUAUGGUUGCAUCCCCUUCAAAAAUAUAAAUUAGUUUCGGUGAUAGUUGCAAUCUUCAUUAGCAUGGAUCUCUUUUUAUUCUUUGUUUCCUUGUCAGUGUUUUGACUCCAUAUUUUAAAGAAGAUGUUCUUUAUUCGGAGAAGAAGCUCAACCUGGAAAAUGAGGAUGGAAUAACAACUUUAUUUUACCUGCAAAAGAUAUAUCCAGGUGUUUUGACUUUGAUGCUUGAACAGGGCUGUCAUGAAUUAUAAUGUGUGAAGAGCUUACUUACAUCUUUUUAACUCUGAAAUAGAUGAAUGGAACAACUUUGAAGAGCGGAUGGAGGAUCCAAAAUUUAACAAAGACAGGAUUGAAUCCAUACGCCAGUGGGUUUCAUAUAGGGCUCAAACACUUUCUAGAACAGGUUUAAAAGUAACACAAUGCAUGCAAUUUAUCUUUGCCGUGAAAUGAACAUAAAAAAUUUAUAGCUUUCUGCUUUUAUAACUCUCCAGUAAGAGGGAUGAUGUACUAUAAGGAUGCUCUUAGACUUCAGUGCUUCCUGGAUUAUGCUGAAGAUGAUGGUAAGUGGUUUCUAUUAAUAAUUUUCUGUUUGUGUUUAUAUUUUAAAUCGAUACUUUCUCCUCCUAUAUCAAAUCAACGUUAUGAUUACCCAAGUAGGACCAGGCUACUGGAAUUGAUUGAUCACUUAUGCCUGUUUUGCAGCUAUCUUUGGUGGCUACCAGACGAUGGAUAUGAAUAAGGACCACAAAAAUCUCAUGGACCGUGCGCAGGCAUUGGCAGAUUUAAAGUUUACCUAUGUUGUUUCAUGUCAGGUCUAUGGUGCACAGAAAAAAUCCAGCGAUCUUGAAGAUCAGAAUAGUGCAGCCAACAUUUUAAAUCUCAUGCUAACGUAGUCUACACUGGUUUUGGAUAUAAAUAUGUAGACAUGGAAAGUUGAGUGUAAUUUUAACCUCAUGAUAAAUUUCAGGUAUCCAUCGCUACGUGUUGCUUAUAUUGAUGAAAGAGAGGAAACUCACGACGGAAAAAAGGUUUAUUACUCUGUUCUAGUCAAGGGAGGAGAGAAGUUAGAUGAGGUGAGUAAAUAACAAUAAGAAUUUUUCUAGGAAACUGAUUUGUGUAGCAAUAAUGACAAUACAAUAGGCUUCUCCUUGGGUAAAAUUUUACUAGUAAAUUGUGUUUUUAGGAAAUCUAUCGCAUCAAACUUCCUGGUUCGCCUACUGAUAUUGGUGAAGGGAAGCCUGAAAAUCAAAACCAUGCAAUCAUUUUUACACGUGGAGAAGCCUUGCAAGCCAUUGACAUGAAUCAGGUGACUUAACUGUUUUUGUUUUAUCGUUUUCAUGUAACCUGCUGUUUUCCAGCCGCUAACUGCCUGCCUUUAGGAUAACUAUUUCGAGGAAGCUUUUAAAAUGAGAAAUGUAUUGGAGGAAUUUCAUAAAACUCAUCAUGGACAAAGAACACCAACAAUAUUGGGAUUGAGAGAGCAUAUAUUUACUGGAAGGUUUGAUUAUCUAUUAUAUCUCAUGAAUCAUGAUUUUAGCGGAUUUAUAUUUUUUUGCUACGUAAAACGGAGAAAUGAUAAUAGAAAUGAUUCCGGAGUAAUUAUGGUAGAUUUUGAUAUAGAACCUUCAUAUAUUUCAGUGUUUCAUCUCUGGCUUGGUUCAUGUCCAAUCAGGAAACUAGUUUUGUAACUAUUGGCCAAAGAGUAUUGGCAGACCCACUAAGGUAUACCAUUUUCCAUUACACAAUGCAAGUAGUUUUUCAUGUGAUUCUGCUAAUAUGUGCGCAUCCAUCACGAUUUUGUUUGUGGUGAAGAGGAUUGUGACGAGGAUAUUUUUUAGGCCUGUAAUGUUUGUUUGUUUGUUUUUUGCUAAGUGAGGCCUUUAAUGUUUAUGCAACUAAAAUGAUGGCUGACAAUAUGAUUAGGGUAAGAUAUAUACAUAUGCUGUUUUCAUGAUAGGUGGUCUCUUUGACCUCAAUUUUUCAUGCUUCUGUGACCAAACUAUGAAAUUGUAUCCACAACCAAGUUUGAGAGAUAUCAUAUCUUAAUGUUGUUUCUAACUUUUUUUUAUUUGGUGUUUAUGUGAUAGCAUUGCCCUAAGUUCAGUAUUAUAUUACUGAAUCUAUUUAUAUAUCAUUGCCACUGUUCAUGUAUAAUAUUCCCAGUGAUUAUUAUUAGUACUCUUUGCAUAAUAAUGAAAACUAUGAUUUCUGUCCGUUCCCUGAACCAUAAUUUGUAAUCUAAAAGUUCUCAACAUCUAAUGUGCUAUAUGACUUCCACCACCUUUUCCUUCUCAGUACUACUUAAUCCUUUAACUGAUCAUAGCCUGCUUCAAUGAUCUUUCAUCUGAAGUGUGAAUUGUACCGUGUAUCAGUACUCGUGAUUUCUGACUUUGAUGAUUAUUUGGCUCUAUAUUUAGAUUUUAAAAUGAGUUAAUAAUACUUCUAUGUUAUACUUAUCUAAAUUGCACUUUUCUUUUACUCAGAGUACGAUUCCAUUAUGGACAUCCUGAUAUAUUCGACAGAAUAUUUCAUAUAACAAGGGGUGGCAUAAGCAAAGCUUCAAAAAAAGUUAACUUAAGUGAGGAUAUAUUUUCAGGUAAACCUCAUCCAAAUCUAAAAUUCACCAUUGCUAAGUUGUCAUUACUGAUAGUAUGUUCUUCAGGUUACAAUUCCAUUCUGCGAGGUGGAUACAUAACACAUCACGAAUAUAUACAAGUUGGCAAGGGCCGUGAUGUGGGGAUGAAUCAAAUCUCCCUUUUUGAGGCUAAGGUUGCAGGUGGGAACGGCGAGCAGACGCUUAGCCGUGAUGUGUAUAGACUUGGACGACGGUUCGACUUUUAUAGGAUGCUGUCCUUCUACUUUACCACAGUUGGCUUCUACUUUAGCAGUAUGGUAUAUUUCAUGUAUCCAGUAUUAGUUACUUGUACAAAAUCCCCCACCCCUCUUUAAAACCCCUAAAUCAACACACACACACUCCCACACACCCACAAAAGGUGAUUGUCUGCUUGUGUUUCAAGCUGAAAUUGCUAAUUUGGCAUAUAAUUAACUUGAUUGAGAAACCCACUUACAGUACUUCGAUUGGUAUAUAUACAUAAAAGAAUGUUUAGCUGAGUUGAAAUCUUGCAAGUAUAACAACAUAGAUGGUAUCUACAUCACUCUUGACAUUGUAUAUUAUAUAAACCAAUAGGAUUUUUGUUGGAUACAACAUCAUGUAUGUCUCUCUAAGCUAAAAAUUCCCUUAAUAUAAUCUAAUAUGGCGAUUUCAAGACACCAUCCCUAGUAUUAAAGUUGUUUUACUUAGUUUCUACGGUAAUGUCUUAAAAAUUAAACACUGAGAAUGUACUUGGCAUGAACUAUAAACUCAUUGUUUCAGGUAACCGUGCUUAUUGUUUAUGUAUUUCUAUAUGGGCGCCUAUAUUUGGUUUUAAGUGGGCUGGAAAAGAGAAUAAUAGAUGAUCCAAAUCUUCAUGUAAGCAAGUCCCUGGAAGAUGCUCUGGCUCCUCAGUCUGUGUAUCAGCUAGGUUUGUUGCUUGUACUGCCUAUGGUUAUGGAAAUUGGUCUUGAAAGAGGAUUUGGCACCGCGGUGGGUGAUUUUAUAGUUAUGCAACUUCAACUGGCAAGUGUCUUCUUCACAUUCCAGCUUGGGACAAAAGCCCACUACUAUGGUAGAACUAUUCUUCAUGGAGGCUCUAAAUACAGAGCUACGGGCCGUGGAUUUGUUGUUUUCCAUGCAAAAUUUGCUGAAAAUUACAGGCUGUACUCACGUAGCCAUUUUGUGAAAGGAUUGGAGAUGGUUAUUCUCUUGAUUGUAUAUCAAGUAUAUGGGGAAUCAUAUCGUAAUUCAAGUCUGAACAUGUUUGUCACUCUAUCAGUAUGGUUUUUAGCUGUUUCCUGGUUGUUUGCUCCUUUUGUGUUCAAUCCUUCAGGAUUUGACUGGCAGAAAACGGUGGAUGAUUGGACGGACUGGAAAAGGUGGAUGGGAAAUCGUGGUGGUAUUGGUAUAUCACCUGACAAAAGUUGGGAGUCCUGGUGGGAUGACGAACAAGAACAUUUAAAACACACAAGCAUAAGGGGUAGAGUGCUUGAGAUAAUCCUUGCUCUCCGCUUUUUCGUUUAUCAAUAUGGAAUUGUGUAUCACCUUGACAUAGCUCAUGAAGAUAAGGAUUUAAUGGUACAUGUUUCUUUCUCGUUUUAACUUUUUUUUUCUAUACCCUGCACUAUUAUGCAGCCAUCAAGAAUUCACUAAUAUAGGUUUCGUAGGUGUAUGGCCUCUCUUGGUUUGUCAUGGCAACAAUACUUCUGGUCUUAAAGGUAUACGUAUUUAACUCAUAAAAGUAGAUAAGAUAACCGUGAUCUUAGGUUGGUUGCAAAUUUUUGUGAAGCAAGCAUGUCACUUUCAAGUCACAAAAUGUUUAUAUAAGAACAGUUAGAGAUUAUGAUAUAUAAUCUCAUUUCGUAUACUGGUACUACCAAGUGAAUUUCUGAUAUAUGAUAUGCUAUCUAAUUGUAUUUGUACCUCAGCUAUUAUCGAUGGGCAGACGAAAAUUUGGUACCGAUUUUCAGCUCAUGUUCAGGAUUGUAAAGGUGCUUCUGUUCUUUGGCUUCGUCACAGUCACAGUUAUCUUGUUUCUAGUAUUGGGUCUUACUGUCAGUGAUUUAUUUGCCGCUAUCCUUGCCUUCGCACCCACAGGGUGGGCUAUUAUCCUGGUUAGUACAGUUCUGUGCCAAAGUUUAUACAUGUCAGGUGCAGUAUUUCAACCAAAAAACAUAUAAAGUGCAAUUAAGCUUACUUCAAAACAACUUCUACCCUUUUUUGACAGAUUGGCCAGGCAUGCAAACCCUGUUUGAGGCGUAUAGGAUUGUGGAAAUCGAUAAUGGAGUUGGCAAGAGCAUAUGAAUGUGCGAUGUCAGUGUUAAUAUUUAUGCCUAUAGUUGUUUUAUCGUGGUUCCCAUUUGUCUCGGAAUUCCAAAUAAGGUUGCUCUUUAAUCAAGCUUUUAGUAGAGGUCUCCAUAUUUCCAUGAUUCUGGCAGGAAAGAAAGACGGAGACAAAAAAUCAUCCAAUUGAACUUUGUAGUUGAUAAUUAUCAUCCAUAAUAUUAAUCAAUAAUCUGUACAUUUAUGCAUAUAUUUGCUGCCUCAUUUCAGUAUCAAAGAUUAUGGUGCUCUGCUGUGUCUGCUGUCAAGUUAUGGUGUGUAAGCAAAUGGAAUUUUUUCCAGAUCGAUGGUUAUAACCUAUAACUAUGAGUUCAAACUACCCAUUAUUUUGUGUGUCGCCACGUCUGGGCAACAUUUUAUCGUGAAAUUAGGAAAUGGAUUCAAAAUUUAGUAGAAGUAUCUGCAGUAGUACUCAUAUUGUUGUUCUAGGCUCAUAGCAGAAGGGAGAGAUUAGCACGAAGCAAUUGGAGAGAUUGUAGUAGAAUUGAGAAGAUCAUUUCGUUUAGUAACAUGUUAAUCGGUGUCUACUGUAACUUGGGAAGUAACUCCAUAACAUACUACAUAAACUGAAUGUGUAGUUUCCGUGGUGUCGUAUCUCAUUGAAGUUGUUAGAAUAUUAUACGAUCCUGGUAAGCCAUCCUCUUAACAUCUUAGGUUUGAGGAGAAUUAGUCACUUAACAUGGUAUCAGAUCUCAGAUUCACGGCAGACUUGUCCAUUGCGUUUACAGGCUUGUGUUUUUCGAAAAUUAACUUCAACUAAGAGGGGGAUGAGGCUAAGUUAGUUGCUGUCAACAUAGGAGAUACUAGUCACUAGUGUUCUGCAAUUUUAACCCAGGACAGCUCUGAGACAAAGCUGAGAUUUUCAAUGGUUCGGCCAGGGGGCGGCGUUAGGACAACACAAGCAGAACGGCAGUACCAUGAUGAUAAAAUUUCUGGAAAAAUAAUUUAAAUUUAUUUUCAGUCCUAAUCACAAAUUAUACACUUGUGCUUAUGUAGGACAUUGUACUUGCAUGCUUGACAAUAUGUACAUACACAACUGACGUUUUGCCUUGUACUGAUAGAUUCAUAAUUAUUCAAGAUUAAUAGAUAGCAAACUGAUAUAAUAUAUAGUUAUUAAAAACCAAACAAAUGGUGAGAUUUUAACAUAUUGCAUGAAUAAUAGAGUAAAAAAAUGAAUUUGGAGCAAAGUGUAUAUCUCUUUCCAGGGGAUGGAAAAGAAAAGGAAGCAAAAUGGAAGGGUGGGAAGCAGACAAGGCAUUGCACUCAUGGAAGAAAUUGGAAGGCUGGGAACUAGACAAAGUAUUGCACUGCUGGCUAAUAAGUGUGUAGAUAAAAAUCCAACUGCAUAACUCAACUAGUUUCUUUUACUUAAAUAAUCAAAUCUACACAUAGCUACCCAUGCACAGUUGGAGGUAGGACAAAUACAAGCAUUUUUCCAGAUAUUUAUCAUUAUAUUCAUCUACAAAUCUAUUUUCUUGAAUUUUAAAUAUUGUAUAUAUGCUUGAAUAAUAUAGAUGGGCGUAUGCUCAACCAGCGGAAAAUUGACUCAUUCUAAGAUUUCUAUUAUCUAGCGUGGAAAAUUAACUCAUUCCAGGGUUUCUCUCGUUCAACAUUUUUUUUCCCGCUGAAUAUAUGUCACUAACAUUCGAUUGUGUUUUGCAGUAGCCCCCAAUAUAGAUACUUGUAUGUUAAUGUUAUUAUUUAUAAUACAUUAUAUUUUUUGGAUUUUUGAUCAAUGUUACUAUAUAUUUAUCAGCAGUCUGUGAAAAGUGACAAACUAUUAGUUGAUCAAGUGAUAAGAAUUCAGAUGUCAAGGGCCAAGACUACUAAUCAGAAACUUAAUUUGGUUAAAAUUAAAUAUAGAACAUCAUUAUCAAUUUUCAGCAUCUUUUCAUUAUGCUUCUAACUGCUAACUUGUGCAAAUUCACAACUACCACCACCACCUUGCUUCAGCAAUCACUUGCAUACUCCAUAUAAAUAGAUCAUUCGUUACCAACAAGAAGAAAAUAAGUAGGUUCAUACCAUAUAUUCUUGACUAAAACAAAAGACUUCUUCAAUUCUUCUAGCACUUCCAUCUUUGUUCCUAUAAAAUAUACAUGGGGAAGAAAAUGAGUAAAAAGAAUGUGAAAAAGUGUAAGAGGGAGAGCAAUAGUACUAGUACAAGUGAUGCAACGCAGAACUUUAACCAUUUGGUUAAGGUUUUGAAGCCUAGAGUUUAUAUUACUCACCCUUCCAACUUCAAAUCUCUUGUUCAUCAGCUUACUGCAGGAGGAAUCCCUAUUCCUUCUCCAACUCCAGUUUCGUCACAAUCUUCGAUGCCCUCCAUUGUAUUGCAACCGACUGAUGAUCAACAAAUCCAGCUUAUGCCGGAUAAAGUUCUUGCAGAUCAAGAUUUUCACUGUGGUGUCCUAGAAAGUAGUCCUGAGUGGGCUUUUGAACGUUCUUGCUCGGAAAUAAUUGAUGUUCCAUUCACCCCCUUUGGUGCAUGGACUGUUUCGGAAGAUUUAAGCCUGUCUGCUCAAAUUUUGAGUGAUGACAUGAUGGAGCAAUUUCAUUCUUCUUUAUUUGGAGACGAGGUGGAGUCCUCGUGGAUAUCAGAGAUGAACAAUCCUUCUCAAGUCUGUGAGUUCGCGUAUAUAUGAUUUGUCAGGGUUGUGGUGAUAGUAAUGUGCAUCAGGUGCUUUGUUAACGUGAAUGAAUGUGUUUUUUUACGUUCAGGUUCACAACUGUUGUGUUGUGUAUAUACCAAGGAAAACUAUGUAGUUCGGUAUUUAGCUUAUUGUAGAAAAAGAAUAAUACGAAGUACUUGCAUUUCGGAAAAAGUAAACAAAAUAAGUUAAACCAAACAUUCCCCGACCAACUAGCCGCUUGCCGCGAAAAUGGCUAGCCUUCCUCAAGUUCUGUCAUAAUUGUGUAUGGAUGCUGAAAUGCAUUGAGUUGGGCAGGGGUAAGAGCGCAAGGAAAUUCAGAUCAGUUCCAACACUGGAACAAAAAAUUAACCAAGUUAUUUGUAAAGUUUUAAUGCAUUAUUCAUUAUAUGAUGAUCAUUUUAUGUUUUCUUUUGUCAAACAUAGAGGCAUUCCACACUUUUUCAUAUGUUUAUUGUAUACAUAGUGAGUGGUACAGUUAUGUCUUAAAUUGUACUCUCUCCCCAUCCCAACCAACCAGACAUUCAUUGUUUGUGCAUAUUUUCAGACUUCUAUAAAAUAUAAUUUUAUGAUAAUUUUUUUAUUUUUUUGUAAAUGUUUAAACGUCAGGGAAAAAAAUUAAAAAAUAUAUUAUAAAUAUAUAUUUUAUAAAAAAAACUCAAAAUACGUGUCAAAAAAUAACGUAAAAAAUUUACCGAAACAGGAUAAAUAAUGAAAAUUUAUAUCAUUUUGACUGCAAUUUAGAGACAAAUAUUCUCUUAAAUAAUCAACAUGACAUAUAGAAACAUGCACUAACUAUAAAGUUGUUGGAGUUUUACGAGGAGAUUAUUAGCGGCGCAUGGUAAACGAAGAAGGGAGAUUAUACUUUUACAUAUGAUCCGUUGGUACGCGAUAAUUUAUAUAGUUAGUUAAGAAUUUUUGAGUUGAAAUCAUGAUAAUGAAAAAUUUAAUCAUUUUGGGACGAAUGAAGGACGAUGAUAUAAGAAUAUAAGAUAUUUAAUGGAUCUAAGAAAAUGUGUUGCAUUAAACAAGGAGCCUAACGAAAAAUUGAAGGAGACUGUAUUUCAUAAUUUGCAUUAAUACAGUAAGCCCGUAUCACUGGAAUGUGAAAUUGAUAUAAAUAUUACACAUAGGGGUGUAAACAAACCAAACUAUUCGUGAGCUAUUCGAGUUCGACUCGGAAAAUAUUCGAAUUUGAUUCAGUAAUAAUCGAGCCGAGCUCGAGCUAUUCGAAUGUUUUACCGAGCCGAGCUCGAGCUUCAAAUUACUCGGCUCUUAAGGUUCGCGAGCCUUAUCGAGCCUCUAUUAUUUUUUAACUUUUUUAUUAUAAAUAUAUUUUUACAAAUAUAUUCAAUAUUUUAUUUUUAAUUUAUAUAUUUAAUCAAAUCGAACUCGAGUCGAACCGAUCAUAUUUCGAGUUUUUGUCAAUAUUUGGUAACUCGAUUCGAGCUUUCGAGCCGAACUCGAGCCUAUCGAACUAUUUACGAGCCGAGUUUCGAACUUGAAAUUAAAGGCUCGGUUCAACUCGAACUCGAGCCCCGAACUUUUCAGUCGAGCUCGAGCCGAGCCCGGUAGUGUUCGACUCGGCUCGGCUCGUUUACACCNNNNNNNNNNNNNNNNNNNNNNNNNNNNNNNNNNNNNNNNNNNNNNNNNNNNNNNNNNNNNNNNNNNNNNNNNNNNNNNNNNNNNNNNNNNNNNNNNNNNNNNNNNNNNNNNNNNNNNNNNNNNNNNNNNNNNNNNNNNNNNNNNNNNNNNNNNNNNNNNNNNNNNNNNNNNNNNNNNNNNNNNNNNNNNNNNNNNNNNNNNNNNNNNNNNNNNNNNNNNNNNNNNNNNNNNNNNNNNNNNNNNNNNNNNNNNNNNNNNNNNNNNNNNNNNNNNNNNNNNNNNNNNNNNNNNNNNNNNNNNNNNNNNNNNNNNNNNNNNNNNNNNNNNNNNNNNNNNNNNNNNNNNNNNNNNNNNNNNNNNNNNNNNNNNNNNNNNNNNNNNNNNNNNNNNNNNNNNNNNNNNNNNNNNNNNNNNNNNNNNNNNNNNNNNNNNNNNNNNNNNNNNNNNNNNNNNNNNNNNNNNNNNNNNNNNNNNNNNNNNNNNNNNNNNNNNNNNNNNNNNNNNNNNNNNNNNNNNNNNNNNNNNNNNNNNNNNNNNNNNNNNNNNNNNNNNNNNNNNNNNNNNNNNNNNNNNNNNNNNNNNNNNNNNNNNNNNNNNNNNNNNNNNNNNNNNNNNNNNNNNNNNNNNNNNNNNNNNNNNNNNNNNNNNNNNNNNNNNNNNNNNNNNNNNNNNNNNNNNNNNNNNNNNNNNNNNNNNNNNNNNNNNNNNNNNNNNNNNNNNNNNNNNNNNNNNNNNNNNNNNNNNNNNNNNNNNNNNNNNNNNNNNNNNNNNNNNNNNNNNNNNNNNNNNNNNNNNNNNNNNNNNNNNNNNNNNNNNNNNNNNNNNNNNNNNNNNNNNNNNNNNNNNNNNNNNNNNNNNNNNNNNNNNNNNNNNNNNNNNNNNNNNNNNNNNNNNNNNNNNNNNNNNNNNNNNNNNNNNNNNNNNNNNNNNNNNNNNNNNNNNNNNNNNNNNNNNNNNNNNNNNNNNNNNNNNNNNNNNNNNNNNNNNNNNNNNNNNNNNNNNNNNNNNNNNNNNNNNNNNNNNNNNNNNNNNNNNNNNNNNNNNNNNNNNNNNNNNNNNNNNNNNNNNNNNNNNNNNNNNNNNNNNNNNNNNNNNNNNNNNNNNNNNNNNNNNNNNNNNNNNNNNNNNNNNNNNNNNNNNNNNNNNNNNNNNNNNNNNNNNNNNNNNNNNNNNNNNNNNNNNNNNNNNNNNNNNNNNNNNNNNNNNNNNNNNNNNNNNNGAUUCGGUAUUAAUUCGAGUCGAGCUCAAGCUAUUUGGAUGUUUUACCGAGCCGAGCUCGAGUUUCAAAUUACUCGGCUCGUAAGGCUCGUCGAGCCUUAUCGAGCCUACUAUUAUUUAUUAAUUUUUUUAUUAUAAAUAUAUUUUUACAAAUAUAUUCAAUAUUUUAUUUUUAAUUUAUAUAUUUAAUCAAAUCGAACUCGAGUCGAACCGAUCAUAUUUCGAGUUUUUGUCAAUAUUUGGUAACUCGAUUCGAGCUUUCGAGCCGAACUCGAGCCUAUCGAACUAUUUACGAGCCGAGUUUCGAACUUGAAAUUAAAGGCUCGGUUCAACUCGAACUCGAGCCCCGAACUUUUCAGUCGAGCUCGAGCCGAGCCCGGUAGUGUUCGACUCGGCUCGGCUCGUUUACACCUCUAAUUACACAGAGAUGUAGCUACGACAAUUUUUGGUUCAGUUAUUUCAUCAUUUCUCGAUUACGUACCAGCAGAUUUCUAUGUCUAAAAUGAGGCAAGUGCUGGUAAUUUCAGAAAAGAAGUGGAGGGAGAUAAGCUCAAUAAUUGAGCUUUUUCCAACAAGUGCUUCAUGUGCAUUGAGGAAGCAUUACCAUUGCUUGCUAUACUACUACGAACAAGUCUACUUUUUCAAGCUAAAACUAUAAAAAAAUUUGACCACAAAGCUAAACAUAUUCUCUCAAGAACCAGGAGGGUGUAACAUCAAAAUUCAAAUACAUUACUUGUUACCACAACAGUUGGUUCCUGUCCAUAUUAAUACCAACUCAAUAAUUACUGAGCCGUGAAUCUUUUGUUGAGACCAUGGAAGAAGCGGUGCUUUUUCCUUCUCGAAUGCCUUCGAGAAGACCUUGACAUGACAUAUGGAAUGAAAUGCACCUGCAGAAAUAUACUUUAAUACAGGAUUACAGGUCACUGAUGGAAUGUGUACUCAGUAGUGGUCAGUAAGUUGUGUUCACGGAAAUAUUCAUCAUCAAGGUCUUCAUACAAUAGCAACAUAUUAAGCCUAUGAUUUAUUAACAUACAUGCAUCAGGAGAGUUUCUAAAGCCUAAAGCUCUAUUACCUGAGAGUUAUUUCGUAUGCCAUAAUCUUGAAGACCAACAUCGUCAUCAAGUAGUUUCUCAUUAUGAUAUGAAAGGCAAAAAUUGCCCCAGACAUGCUUCCUGAGAACAGAAUAAGGAUUGAGCAUUUAGUUUGGUUUUAUAUUCGAUCAGUUUGACAAUCCACAAAAAGUAUAUGAGUGCCAGUCUAUGAAUAUUAGUAAUAUAAAAGAAUAUUAUGAUGCAACCAAGAGGUCAGUUCUUAUAAAACCUGUCCCUCUUUGCCAAGGUUUGAGAUCCUUUCCCUUUGCAUAUUUAUUUUGUAGGAUCCGUGAAAUGUAUAUUCUAGAAGCAUUACAUGACCAUUCUUUGCUGAUUGAUCCCAUAUAAAAACAGCUUUGGUAUACAUUAAGAAAGUUAUAAAUAUAGGCAAAACAAAUUUAUUCUUAAUACUAAGGAGAAAACCUAUCCUAUACCAAAUAGCAAAAGACAUGUUUAGUGCCUCUUUAUGGAUCAACCAGCAAACAAAUAAAUAAUGAUAACCUAAUUUUUCUAGAAUUUGUUUCCCAAGGGACCUGCACAAAAGGUAUGCAGCAUCAAAAAAUUUCAAACCUUGACAAAUAUGGGCAAUCCUAAUAUAAAUGCAUCUCAGCAAGUGGUCAACACACCGCAGUUCGGUUGGUAUCUCGUGAAAUGUUAGCCACUUUGAAAGGUGAAAUAUAAGUUGAAACAUAGAAUUUAAACAGAGAAAUUUAAAGUACAACGGAACUAUUAGCCACUAAAUGUGGUAUUCAGCAGGAUAAAUGCAGCAAUCAACUGAGAGGCUACAGGAAAAUGUUACUAAAAUCCACAAGUAAGAAAAAGGGGCAGUACAAACCAAGAAAUAUGACGAUGACCCAUCUCGGAUUGUUCGCAUUCAUUAACUUUUUUUUUAAUACCCAACUUCAAAUCCUUAACUGUAGCCGUAUUCAUAACAUGAACAUCUACAAAACAUAUACUAAAUCAUCAUUGUAUAAACAUGCACACCACAUGUUUGAUAAAAUGCCCAACCGAACUAAAACCACAUAUAAAGAAAUUACCGAAGGAGGUCCCGUCCAUUUUAAGAACGGAUAUGCGCAUAGCACUUCCGAGUUCGAAACUGAUAAGGGUUUCGACGUCAGAGAGAGACGGCUUUUUUGGGACGUCGGAGAGAAUGGCAUCAUCGAGGAGUGCUGCGAGAGUUAAAUUCAGUUUAGACCUUUUUACAUUGCUGUUGUACGGGUUUUCAUCCACUUUUUCAACAUCUGAUGAUGAACCCAUUUGGAGAAGAUGUACCUCUGCUACAGUUUUGAUGAUCAAUUACUGUCCUGAAAAUCGCGUACUUCGCCUAUUCCACUUUUUAUAUUUGAUUAAUCAACAAACUAGUGAAUAUUACUCCAAUCCAUCCCAAACGAGCUUAGUUGAUUUUGGACACCGAGCUGCAUUCAUAGUCCAGUUAUGAAAUUUAUUUUUGAAAAAAAAUUUGUGAACAAAAAUUUCAUAUUUUCAUUUGUAAAAAUAAAAUUUUUAAAAAAAAUAUGCAGUCAAUGUACCUUAGAUUCUAUGUCCACAAUCAACGAACUCGCUUAAUUUGGGAAGGAGAAAAAUUAUUGAAAUAUAUCAUUAACACCCGAUUAUUUGACUAGUCAUUGGACGAUGAUUUUGUUGAUUAAUUUCGAUUUUCACUUUAUACAACAAUAUAAUUUGUGAAGCAAACAAAGAGAAAAUGAGAACUUACGUGAUUAAAUAUUAUUAUUAGAUUAUAUAUAAAAAUAUUGAGAUUUAGCUCUUACUUUGUAUUAUAAAUAAGUAAUGGAAACAAUAUGCAAUAUUAUCCCGAUCCCAAAAUCGACAUCAUACCUGAUGUGACUUUUUGAUAAGUAUUAAUAGCUUAAUUCAUUACGAGAAAAAGAUGUUCUGUAUUUAAUAAACCGACCAAAUUUAUACAAAUUGAUUUGCUUUAUGAAUUUAAUCUAUAUGGAUUAGGUUGAGAUUUUAAAAACCCAAUUUAAUUGAGAUCAUUUAUUAAAUUUUCUAAACCACCAAACCCGUAAACUGAAUUAAUUUGUUUUUUCGAGAAAAGACCAAAUAUAUCACAAUUUUUACAAGUGUUGCCCAAAUUAUCAUAUUCGUAAAAAUAAUCCGAAAUAUCAUACAUGAAUUAAUUUGUUUUUUAGCGCUGGACAUGGGAAUCCCCGUCCAGCGCUAAAAAAGCGCUAGACAUAUUAAAAUUUUAAUAUGAUCCUGGCCGCUAGAUAUGCAUCCAACGGCCCAGAAUCUGGGUGUUGGUUAAGCGCUCCACAGCAGCCGUAUGCUGUGGACCGCUACCCAUGUUUAGGAUUCUAAAACGUUACACAAUUUAAUGUUAAUAAACGAGAUAAGAAUGAACACCACCUUGCGUUUUGUAUUAAAAAUGAAUUUUGGACUAUUUUUAUUUGAAAUCUUAUUCCUAAAAAAAUAUGAUAGAUUGCGUAAACAACCUUGUUUUGUUACCCUACGGAUUAAUGAAAAAUCAUGACUUUCUAAAGCGGCCUUGUUCGCCAAACCAUAAUAAAUUUGAAGCAUCUUCAAUGGUGCUCCUAAAUGAUUCAUGAAAUGAUAACAUAAAGUGUGCCUCACAACGACUUAAUAUGUUGGAAAAUGCGAGAACUCCAAUACUACUAUUUAAACUUAGCUCUUUAUUCAGAUUCUAUAUUUAUUUUACAUAAACGAGAGAGAAAAGUUAACUAAAAUAGAGGGAAUAUUGGAGAGAAAUUAAUAUUAUAUUCAUAAAUAAAAAGUUAAAAGUUACUAAAUUUUCUCUAAACGAGAGGAGGGAGAGUAAGCUCUUAUAAAUUUUUAAAGAGGUUUUAAGACCCUUUUGGAUCACUGAUUCUUAACUUGCUCUUUAAAUUUAGAGUUAAGAGCUUGUUUAAAGAGCUAUGAUCAUCUCCGAUGUGCUUUAUAAACAAGCUCUUAACUUAAAAUUUAAAGCAUAAGUAAAGAAUUAGUGCUCCAAUGAGAUCUUAGAAACUCUUUAUUAUAAAUUAAAGAGUCUCUUCUCUCUUCUCUCUUUUAAAGAGCAUGCAUAGCUCUUUAACCUUUUAUUUAUAAGUACAAUAUUACUUUCUCUCAAAUCUUACCUUUCUUUCAGUUAACUCUUCACUCUUAAUUAUAUAAAAUAAAUAUAAAAUUUGAAUAAAGAACUAGUAUAAAGAAUAGUGUUGGAAUUAUCACAUUUUUCAAUAUUUUAACUCAGUGGAAGUCACAUUUUAUAUUAUUGUUUAAGAAAAUGAUUUAGAACGAAUACAUGAAAUGCUCUGAUUAAAGAUUUCUCUUACAAGGGUGUUCUAAAAGUCGAUUAAUCACUGUUCGGUUGGUCACCGUCUCGAUUAAGCGUUAAUCAGUGAAAGAAUCGUUUUUCUUGAAAAAUCGGUCAAAUACGGAAUUAAUCGGUCAGAAAUCGGCAAAAAUCGGCUAGAAAUGGUAAAUUUCAAAUUUUAAUAUUCAAAGUAAAAUAAAAAAAAUUUAAAAUUUAAUUUUGAGACUCAUUGUACAAUUGUCUUAUGGGAUGAACUAGCCUAAAUAUGUAGAAAAGGGGACAUUUUGUAGAUAAAAUCAUUGAUUUUUUAAUUUAUAAAAUUAUAUGAUCAUAAGUCUUUCAUAAAUAUUAAUAUACUAGUUGAGAAGCCGCGCGUUGCGGCGGGCUAUAAAAAUUAUAUUAAUUAUUCAAUAUUAAAAUUUAUAAAAUAAAAUAAAUUUGCGACAAACUAUAAAAAAUAAUAUUAAUGAUUCAAAAUUAAUAUUUAUAGAAUAAAAUAAUUUUAUAUUAUAAACAUCUUGAUGCAAUACCAAUAUUAAUAUAUAAAAUUGCAAAAUUGAACUAUAAUUCAUGAGUGAAAAAAUGAAAAUAUGAUGCAAUACCAAUAUUAAUAUAUAAAAUUGCAAAAUUGAACUAUAAUUCAUGAGUGAAAAAAUGAAAAUAAAAAUCUACAUGUAAUUAACGAUUCAAAACAUGACAAAUCUUAAUUUUGGUUCUGUUUAACAUAGGUGCGUAAAAGUUUAAAAGAUAUUGAGAUACAACUCCGAAAUCAUCCCUAAUUUUAAUAGGGAUAAGCAUUAUGUUCUAGUUGUACGAACAUCUCGGGACGUAUGAACUCCAAUCCAUGAAUGGGUGUAUUAGUGAUUCCUUCUUUUUUUUGAUUGAUUGACCGCAAAAACAUCAACUUAUAUCCAUGAGAUUUCGGUUUAUAACUAACCUUGCAACAACCUUUAUUUAUGUUGUAUAAACAGUCUUCACUUAAAAAUUGUUUGAACUGAGCAAACAAAUAUUGUGAAAGUGUUGCAUGAAAAUCUUUUCCUAUAUACAAAAUAAACCAUAUAAAAAUUAACAAAAACAAACAUAUCCGAUGAACAAAGCAAAUAUUAUAAAAAAAUAAAGAACAAACAUAUAUUCCUAAUAAUUAAUCUAUUAACCUUUUUAUCCAUCAAUAUCAUGUCAAGACUAUAUGGUUCUCUCGUGUUUGGAUUUGUCGACUACCACAUCCGACAAACUCUUAUUCUUAUCGGCCAAUCAUCUCUAUCAUCAUUCAAAACAUCUGUAACUCAUUAUUGUAUUAGAUGUAAAAGACAAAUAAGCUCAAGAAAAAUUGUGUGUGUUAAAUUUUAUGAAGUCUGGCCUUAAUUUAUAGGGGUUGAUUUGAGAAAAGACCGGCUUAUUAAAAAUACUUUCUGUUUUUGAUAUACACCUUUUCCAAAAUAUGAUGAUAGUUUCAGAUUCUGAUUUGAUUUUGAUAUUUUGAAAAAGGUAGUUCAGAAACUUUCUUCCAAUAUAUCCGAAACUAAAAAAGGCAAUUUUUAUUUUUGAUAUUUUUUCAUCCAAAAAUUCCAAAAAAUUAGAAAAAUAGAACAGAGCUCUGUGAGAGGCGCCACCUAAACGGCUCAUGCUUCUCCUUUAUAAUCCGCGCGUUGCGGCGGCCUAUAAAAAUUAUAUUAAUGAUCCAAUAUUAAUAUUUGUAGAAUAAAAUAAUUUUAUGACUGUCUAUAAAAAGUAUAUUAAUGUUUCAAGUUAAUAUUUGUAGGAUAAAAUAAAUUUAUAUUAUAAAAAUCUUGAUGUAAUACAAAUACUAAUAUAUAAAAUUGCAAAAUUGGACUAUAAUUCAUGGUGAAAAAAUGAAAAUAAAUUUAUACAUGUAAUUAACAAUUUAAAGCAUGACGAAUCUUAAUUUUAUUUGUUUUUUUUUUGGAAAAAUAAUCACGUUCUUACAUUGUCAUCUUCCUCCGAUUUUUUUAGAUUGAUUGUGCACAAAAACAUUUAACUUAAAUAUAACUACCCUAUUAAAAGUUGCUUGAACGGAGCAAACAGAUAAUGCAUGAAUGAUAUUUUCAUGCAUACAAAGUAAAUAAUAUAAAAAUUAACAACAAACAUGUCCGAUGAACAAAACAAAUAUUAUAAAAGAAUAACCAAUAAACAUACAUCAUUAAUAGUUAAUUUAUUGACAUCAACCAUCAAUAUUAUGUCAAGACUAUAUUUUUUUCCCGUGUUUGGAUUUGUCGACUCCAAUAUAACGGUCUAUAGCUACAUUUGCUUGCAACAACCUUUACUUUAACAGCCUUCACUUAUCGUUGUAGAAGAACGACACCUCCAAGUUAGAAAUCGAGCAAGAGAAAGGUAAUUCUAAUUUUUGAUAUUUUUCAUCCAAAAAAUUCAAAAAAUUAUAAAAUAAAACGGAGCGAUGUGAGAGACGCCACCUACACGCCCCUCGCUUCUCCUUUAAAAAUCGAGUAAGAGAACUAUCAGGUAGGUUUGUGGUAUUGAGGUAGGAGGUUGUGUUUAGAAGAUUCAAAACCCUACGAUCUAUACGGGUAUUUAUAGGUGGAGAGAAACUUGUUUGCUACUCUUUCCCAUAAUUAAAUAAUCUGAACAAAAUCAUAUUAAAAUUUUCAAGCUACUAUAUUCCAUAUAUAGUCUGCCUUUUCCAUAAAUAAUUAAUCUGAAAUAAAAUUAGAUUAAAACUUUCAAGCUACUAUAUUCCAUAAAUAAUCUGAAACAAAAUCAGAUUCUGAAACUUGCUUAUAAUAUACCCGAAACUAAAAAAGGUAGUUCUAAUUUUUGAUAUUUUUCAUCCAAAAAUUCCAGUUAAUUAGAAAAAUAAAACGGAGCGAUGUGAGAGGCGCCACCUACACGCCCCUCGCUUCUCCUUUAUAUAAGUAUAUUGAUGAUUGAUUGAUUGAUUUAUGUUUAUUUAGUUAAAAAUAUAUUAAAUUGAUUCCAAUUAAUGAUAUACUUAAUCAUUGAUUAUCCGAUUAAUUGCUUCGAUUGCCGGCUUUUACAACAUUUCUUGUAACCCGCCCCAGAGCACCACGAACCGGCUCGCUCACUCGAACAAAUCUGAUACACAUUGGCCAUUGCACUAUAUCCCCACCCCUCUCUUCCCCAAACGCCCCCAUAAUUUUUGAGUAAUUACCAAGUCUACCCUUUUCAUACGUCCUUUGUUUCCUCUUUCCUCUACUCAUCCUGGGAGAGUGUCUCUGUCUCCAAAUCUAUCUGCUGCUGCAUAUACACACAUACACAUAAAACAAUAUUAAAAUCAAAAUAAUUAUUAUAGUGUUCUUGUAUCUCUUUGUGCUCUUAUUUUACAGAUUUAAUUAAUCGGAUAACUAUGACUAUGCUCACUCAUCAACCGCUAGAUGUAAGUUUCUUCACUCUCGCUACUCUCAAUUUCACAAUUACGUCUAUGUAUUGUGUAUAUUUGUGUAAUUAUGUGUUGUAUGUGUGUGAUCCUUAGGGUUUGGGAUUCGUACGGAUGCUUAUGUGUGUGUUGUAUUUUGCAAUUUGUUUAAAGUUAGGGUUUUUUUCGAUUGUUAGUUAGUUGUUAGGAUUUUUUAAUGUUAUAUUGAAUGUGUUUCGUGAAUUUUUUAGCAAGAAGAUGAUGAGAUGCUGGUGCCACAUCAGGAAGUUCAGGUGUCUCCGCCCGUGGAAGGGCCUUUGCUAGUGGAAGGACCGCAGCCGAUGGAAGGUAUAGAUAUUUCGGUGUUGUUUUGUGAUUCGGUUGGCUUUCUUGUUUGUUUCAGUUGAGAUUGUUUUUGUUGUUUUUUAGUAGUGUCACAAACAGAAAGCACAAACGCGGUUGACAGUCAAACAGUUGAGGAGCCACAGGCGUCUAGGUUUACGUGGAUGAUCGAGAAUUUCUCGAGAUUGAACACUAAGAAGCAGUAUUCUGAUGUUUUUGUCGUCGGUGGUUUUAAAUGGUAGUUUGAUCUGCAGCGAGCUUCAUUCAUUUAUGGAUAUAUACGUACUGCUGAUUACUUUGUGGCAUAUGAUUUGAGUAUUUCUUGAUGCAGGCGUGUCCUUAUUUUUCCUAAGGGUAACAAUGUGGACCACCUUUCUAUGUACUUAGAUGUCGCAGAUUCAUCGACAUUGCCAUAUGGGUGGAGUAGAUAUGCACAGUUUAGUUUGGCUGUAGUUAAUCAAAUUCAACCUAAGUACACUCUAAAGAAAGGUACCAUCUUUAAUGGAUUUUUUUGUUUAUGAUUUGCCAGCUUGUCUUUUUCGAGUAGAUAUACAGAACAGUCAUAAAAUUUAUGUAUGUUAUAGCUGUACUAGUAGUAGUUGAUCUUUUAUCUGUUUGCUAGGAACAUAUAUUACUGGUUUGUCGUGUAGUUAGGUGUGGAUCUCAUGGCUUUAAAAAAUAUUUUAUAAUGCAUGUGAUAAAUGUUCACAUUUGGUAGAAUAAGAGAAGUGUAUUAUACAUAAAAUCACUACUGUCGAGUGAGCAAACUGUGUAUUAUUAUACCUUAAUGUAGUUGGUUUAAAUGUAUAAUAUUCAAGUUCUUAUAAUGUGUUUUUUAAAUGGCUCAAACAGAUGCCAUUUAGUCCCAUGAAAAUUGAUGCAGGACAAGAUAGCAAAAGCUAAGAUAAACAAUCCCUCAGGUGACUGAAUUGGAAUUCAAAUCACUACCCCAAGUUUAAAUCCCUAAAUUGGCAAUAAUGAAUUCCAAUUUAGAGAAAAAGACAUCGGUAUAUCAAAGCUAAGAUAAUAUGCGGGGAUUACAAUGCUUAUAUAGGCAAUAGAAACCUUAAUGAAAUAACCUAAUGGAAUAACUGCUUAUAUAAUAGUCUACUGAUCCGCACAUAUAAAACACACUAAAUAUACUUAAACUAAUUAAAAGCAUAUACAUUAAUUCCUUAUUUUUGUUCCCCAAGAAAAUUUCCUUUAUACAUUAUGGGGGCUAAAGAACUUGUAGAACCAUUAGACAUCAAUUUAAAGCUAUGUUACAUGUGUGUGGGCUAAUGAGAUGAAAUACAUUUAUUAUAUAAGUUUGAAUAUUAGAACCGGUCUUUAAUGGCCCUUUUUUUUUGUCAGAAUAAAAAUUAAUGAAACCUUUUGCAGUCUUAAUAUUUAUAUACCCGGGAAUGGAAGCAUUUAAUGAAUUCAUAGUACUAACUUCUUAUGAAGUAUUUGGUAAUAGAUCAUAUUUUUAUACUGUUUCUUGUUUUUUACCUGAUCAAUAUUAUUUGAUUGUAUUUUUAAUACCAUUUGCAGUCGUGAUACUAACAGUUCUUGAAAUGGCAGAAUUAGUCAAUGAUUUUUCUUUUUAACCGUUAGCUUAUCAGCUCAAAGUAUUGUCAUAGGUCCCCAAUGAGCUAAUAAGCCAGACAUAGUAUGAAAAGACUUUCACUGAAGAAUUUAGGAUUUAACAUAUCACACGCCACGUGGUAUAAUGCUAAGCUUUGAACAGUUGUGUCGUGCUACAGUGAACUUUGCUUAGAUUACUAGGCCCAUCAAAUUUAUGCAAAGACGUGAGGUUUUGUCAGGACCUGGAGAAGAGAGUGAAGAAAUAUUUGUAUGAGUUGGUGUUACGAACUGCAGUUUUUUUAACCUAAUAGUGUUGCCACUCUUUUUUUUUUUUUGGUUUUGAUUUCAGUGCUAAUAGAUACUGAUCAUACAAAAAGUGUGUAUUAUAUUCGCUGCAGUUAUGUAAGUGCACUUAAAUUCUACUUAACGCAACAAACUCUGGAUUCUUGUAGACACACAGCACCAGUUUCAUGCAAGGGAAAGUGAUUGGGGCUUCACAUCCUUUAUGUCACUUAGCGAGCUUUAUGACCCAAAUAAAGGUUUUCUUGUUAAUGAUACAUGCAUUAUUGAAGCUGAUGUUGCUGUACGCAAGGUCGUCGACUAUUGGACAUAUGACUCGAAGAAAGAAACUGGUUAUGUUGGUCUGAAAAACCAAGGAGCAACUUGUUACAUGAAUUCUUUACUUCAGACUUUGUACCAUAUACCUUACUUUAGGAAGGUAGGAACGUGUGUUCACAAGACUGUCACAUUUUUAUUCUGCCAGUAUCCAAGAACGAUUAUUUCAUUCUUUGUUAUCUGUAUCAGGCUGUGUAUCAUAUGCCGACGACAGAGAAUGACAUGCCCUCAGGAAGCAUCCCUCUUGCGUUACAGAGUUUAUUUUACAAACUUCAGUAUAACGAUACUAGUGUUGCAACAAAAGAAUUAACUAAGUCUUUUGGAUGGGACACAUACGAUUCUUUCAUGCAGCAUGAUGUUCAAGAACUUAACAGAGUGUUAAGUGAAAAGCUUGAAGAUAAGAUGAAGGUAUCAUCUAGUUCACUAUUUUUCCCUUCCCUAUCUGUCAUCUUUUUCUUAUGUCCCAUCUGUGUUUUCUUAUCUUAUAUGGUUCACUGUCUCUACCUCUGGAUCAGGGAACUGUUGUGGAGGGAACCAUACAGAAAUUAUUUGAAGGUCACCACAUGAAUUAUAUUGAAUGCAUCAAUGUGGACUUCAAAUCUACAAGAAAAGAAUCAUUCUACGGUACUUGUGCACUUUUAAGUGAUUAACUAGUACACAUAACAGAACUAUAAUGAUGUUAACUGUUUUUUUGGUCAUUAUUGUUUGUUAUUGCAGAUCUACAGCUUGAUGUUAAAGGAUGUCGAGAUGUUUAUGCUUCCUUUGACAAGUAUGUGGAGGUUGAACGUCUUGAGGGUGAUAACAAGUAUCAUGCUGAAGAACAUGGAUUACAGGUUAGCUAAUGCUUGGUUGCAGGGAAACCUGAUGCAUUUCAAAAAUACCUAAUUGAAGUUCUUGAGAUUACCAGAUAUUGCCAUUGGCAUUUCUCUAUUAGAUAUAGGUGAACUAUCUGUGAUUUACUUAGAUUUUGGUAAAUCCCAACCUAGAAACACAAGGGAAACUCUUCACAUGUUAAUGAAAGAGUUCUACUUGCCUAACAUCCCUACCCAUCACUAGGAAAAUGUAACAAAACAAGUAAACAAGUGUACUAAAAUCAAACUCUCAGAUUAAGACUCUUCUGAAUUCACGUAAAAGAGAAGGAACGUAUUCCAGAAGGUCCAAAUCUUGUUUUAUCUUUAAAGCGUUGGAGAAAUUCGGUUUUAAAAUUUCAGUGUUAUGAUUCUUACUCAGCUAUCCUAUCAAAACUAACGAGUCAAUAACAGGCCAACAACCUUGUCUAAUGCACAAACUGGCCGGCGAGGGAAUAAUUGUAGGAGCUUAAAAAAGUCGCCUGGGCUAUGAAAGUAACAUCCAAUGCUAUGCCUCAUUCUAACAAGGGAAACAUAUAAUAAGAAUCAAUAAAAGAAAGCUAGCAACCACUACAUCUGAUUGGAGAACAGAUUCUGGUUGGAAGUGCACUUUAUGGUCAUCUCUUUACAUUUCUUUUGGUACAAUAGAAAAUAAUUAAUUAUAAAAAAUAAAUUAUGUAAGUUGAACUCUUCAUGACCACGUGAAAGUUGAGCUGUAAACGAACCGAACUGUUCGGUAAGCUCGUUCGGUUCGGUUCAUGUUCGAGUUCUGUAAGCUCGUUCGAUUCGGUUCGUGUUUGAGGUCGGUAAGCUCGUCCGGUAAGCUUACCGAACACGAGUUCGAACAACAUUUCCGUCCGAUAAGCUUAACUAACUGAACCAAACUUUUAGGGUGUUUGGUUCGUUAAGCUUGUGUCAAUAAGCUCGUGUUCGUUCGACAAUAAAUAAAAAUAUUUAUAAUAUUAUAUAUAAAUAUAAUAUAUAAUAUAUAAUAUCCAUAAUUUAGGUAUCAAUUUCAUUUAAUAAUUGUAGAAUUAUUUAAAAUUGAUAUUGUAUAUGUUGAAAAUAUAUAAAUAAAAUAUUUGGGUUAAUUUUUUUUCAUUAAAUUAAUUUAAUAAUAGCCUAAAUAUUAUUUAAACAUAUACAUUGUUCGCGAACUGUUCGUGUUCGGUUCAACAUGUUCGCGAAUAGUUUGUGUUCGGUUCGUCCGUUACCGAACUCGAGUUCAGAAAAAAAAAAUUGUUCGAUAAAGUUAUCGAACAUUGUUCGGUUCGUUAAGAAUUUGUUCAAGUUCGGUAAGAGUUAGUCCGGGUUCGGUCCGCUUACAGCUCUACGUGUAAGCUUCCCUUGUGUUUCUUUUGAGAUUGAUGCAAAAUACGAUGAGAUCACAAACAGUUAACCAUAGGAAUUUCAAGGGUAAUAUUAUUCCCUCUUUAAGUACUAAAAGUAGCUUGCAAUGAGAAAACUAAACAUCUAAUGUAUAUAAAGACCUUUUUUUCCAUUCCGAAAGCACCUUUUAACCUUAAUAAUAAAAGCUUCUUAUAUGCUUUCUUAUCUGGGUUCUGGCGGUUUUCUCUUCCCACAAGGAAGAAUUGGACUUUUUUUUUAGUUAGCAACCUUUUUAUUGAUUAUUUUAAAUAUUGAGGUAUUGACAAAUACAUUAAUCUCAGGAUGCUAAAAAGGGUGUCUUAUUUAUAGACUUUCCUCCUGUUCUACAACUUCAGUUAAAGCGCUUUGAAUAUGAUUUCAUGCGAGACACAAUGGUGAAGGUAAGUGUUUUGCUUUAUUUGAUUCUUUCCUCUGUUUUUUGAUGCAUUUGUUACAGAUAUAUUAGCUUAUUCCGUAUUUAUGUCAAGGUUAUUUUUGGUCUUUGCAUGUGUAGUCUCGGCAAUUGUAUCAUAACAUGUGUAGUCUCGAGCGAUUGUAUCAUUACUCAGUUUUUCCUAAAAAAAACGCUAGUCAAAUGUCUUUACUAACAUUUAACAGUAAUGUAAAAGGCAUUUAUCGACUAAUUUUUACUAUAGAAAGGUUGAUUACUGCUGUAGAAUGUCAUUCCGCACUUUUUUAAUGCUUUGGGUAUAUGCUGCUGAGAAAUUGCAGGAUCUCGUUGUUAGGAGCAGGGCAGUAUUAGGAGUAAGAGUAGGAACAGUAGUGUCCUUUUACUUGCAAUUUAGUUAGUCUCUAUCUAAGUAGAACUUUGUAUUUUUCAUUAUGCUUUCUUUGAAAAGGAACUUGUUCUACCACUCAUCUCUCUUUUCUCUCUAUGCAACUGAUUUCUGUCUCCCCCCCUCUUUGGUUUCUCUCCCUAUUCUAUCUCUCUAAGCUCUGUUUUUCCUCAUCUCGCUACCUCUCUCUGUAUCUCAGCUUCCCUCUGACAUUUAUCUGCUAAUAUCUUUUGUUUAGUGCAUUUCCUCGUUAAAAUAUAUAGCGAACACCAAAAAUUCAUUUAAAAACACACACAAAACCUUUGAUUCUGAAAGAAACUCGAUUUAUGGCUAGUCAGUUUAAUCCCAGAACAACCAUUAGUCAAAAGUUCUGUUAACAGUAAUGUGAAAGGCAUUCAUCUGCUGAUUUUUUUUACUGUGGAAACAUUUAAUACUGGUAUAGUAUGUCAAACCACUCUUACAUAAUGCUUGGAUAUGUCUGCCGAGAAACUUAUUUCAUGUGUGUAGUCAGUUUCACCCUCUCUUGAAGGUUUGAUAAGAAUAUAUUGCUGUUUGGGUCAGAUGACAUAAGCAUUUUAUAAUGUGCUAUAUGCAACUCACAUUUAUGUACCAUGGACUGACUAUUAAGUUUCAGUUGUGUUUCAAUCUUUAUCUUAUUGGAGCACCUUCUAGUUUCAUGUCCACAUCAUUAAAUCGAAAAUGGAACUAAGUAAUAAUCUGGCUUUUAGUAAUAUAAUUCAUUAACUAGGAUUUUGUAGUUUAUUUAUGUGCUAAGCAUAUAUUGUGGAUGGAUUUAAAAUUCUUGAUAUUACCAUAUGUGAUGAUAUAAAUCUUGCUUGGAUUGGUUGUGCAGAUAAAUGAUCGUUAUGAAUUUCCUUUAGAGCUUGAUCUUGACAGGGAGGACGGAAAAUAUUUGUCACCAGAUGCAGAUAGGAGUGUCCGCAACCUUUAUACUCUCCAUAGGUAGAAAUUUGUAUUUGACUUGCUCUGUGGGCCUGUACACUUUAUUUAUAUUAGUGUAGUGGGGAUUGUUUUUGCUAAAUGUGGCAUCAAAUUUUAUAUGUUGGAACUUAUUUGGAAUUCUGUAUGAAAAUUUUAUUCAACUAACUGGUAUCAUGUAUGAGAAAGAAGUCACUUUAUUACUUUGUCGAGUGUCUAACAUACUUUCCUCCAAAGUGUUGUUUUGACUUGCAACUCAAUGUUGUUAUCUUUUACCUGACAUUUAAUAGCAGAUACCAACUUAUAGUCGUGAUUAGAAAAACUUGUAUGCUCUAUUCACUGUGUCCUACUUUAGUUGCGAAACAUUUUUGUUUGCCUCUUUAUCAAGAUAUAAAUGAAAUUAACACUUUUCAAAGUUCGCCUGUGUACGUGGACCUGGCUUUUGUUUGACUUGGUUCAGUCAAUUUUAACAAUUUACGAGUGUUUGACUUGUUCAUCUAAAGGACUUCUCAUCUACUUAGGUACUUUGAUAUCAGUAUUUACUGUAAUUUUUGUGCCAAAGGAACUCAGAGAAGUCCUAUGUGUUAUAAUUAUCUCGUAAUAAUUAUGUAGAAACUACUUAGGCUAGGUGCCCUUUUGUUGUAACCUUGCAAGGUCCGUAGUAUUUAGUGCACAUGCAAAGUAAGUGGAAAAUGUUGAAUGUUGAAAUAUUGAUAUAGUUUAUUUCUAAACCAUUUAGAUUUUAGCAUAAUAUCAUGAAGGAAUAUUAAUGUUUUAGGUAUGCUGUAUAGUUUACUUGCUAAACGAAAGCAAUUAUUUUAACAUAAUAGUAUUUUGCAUUGAAGCUCCACUUUAUGAAACUGGAAUUUUCUCGCUUGAAAUAUAUAAUGGUUUGCUCACACUCCUGUUCCAUUUUUUUCAAAACAGUGUUUUGGUUCAUAGUGGGGGAGUGCAUGGAGGACACUACUAUGCAUUUAUUAGACCAACACUCUCUGAUCAAUGGUACAGUAUUCAUGCUAAACUACUCUCACUUCUCUGAACCAUUAACUAUAUAGUAAUACAAUGCUGAGGGUAGCAAAUUAUGUGCUUGCACUUAGUCUGUUAUCUGUUGCUAGUUUUUAGCAGUCAGACCUUUUUCCACAUGUACACAUCUUUAUGGUGUUGUCUUUUGUUUGCCAUCAGUUUUAUUAUUGGGUACCAAUACCAUUCACCUUCUUCUGUAGGUUUAAGUUUGAUGAUGAAAGGGUUACAAAAGAAGAUAUGAAAAGAGUUCUGGAGGAACAAUAUGGCGGUGAGGAAGAGGUAUUGUUAUGUAUUUCUUCAGAGUUCUUUAUAUGUUUGUAUUAUCUUGGGCAGUCAAUUCUAAUAUCUUUCCCNNNNNNNNNNNNNNNNNNNNNNNNNNNNNNNNNNNNNNNNNNNNNNNNNNNNNNNNNNNNNNNNNNNNNNNNNNNNNNNNNNNNNNNNNNNNNNNNNNNNNNNNNNNNNNNNNNNNNNNNNNNNNNNNNNNNNNNNNNNNNNNNNNNNNNNNNNNNNNNNNNNNNNNNNNNNNNNNNNNNNNNNNNNNNNNNNNNNNNNNNNNNNNNNNNNNNNNNNNNNNNNNNNNNNNNNNNNNNNNNNNNNNNNNNNNNNNNNNNNNNNNNNNNAGUCAAUUCUAAUAUCUUUCCCUAUCUACUCUUGUCUUCAUCGAACAGUUGCCCCAGACCAAUCCUGGUUUCAAUAAUGCCCCAUUUAAGUUUACAAAAUACUCAAAUGCAUAUAUGCUUGUUUAUAUACGUGAAAGUGACAAGGAGAAAAUAAUUUGUGAUGUGGAUGAGAAAGAUAUUGCCGAGCACCUUAGGGUAAUUUACAUGCAUAUAUCUUUUGACAUUCUUAUUUUCAAUAUUUUUAUUACAAAGACAUGCAUUAUAUUGACACUUCUCCAUCAUUUCUUCCAGAUAAGGCUUAAGAAAGAACAAGAAGAGAAGGAGGAUAAGAGAAAAUAUAAAGCCCAAGCACACCUGUACACUAUAAUUAAGGUGAAUGUAUAUAUUAGACUGCUUUACUUGUUUGGUAUCUAGAAGUAGAUUAUUUUUAAACAAAUAUUUUGCUGAGUUGUGAGAUUUCAAUAUCCAGGUUGCCCGUGAUGAGGACCUAAAGGAACAGAUCGGAAAGGAUAUCUAUUUUGAUCUUGUUGAUCAUGAUAAAGUGCGAAGUUUUCGCAUCCAAAAGCAGGUUCAAUUUGCCUCAUUCAAGGUAAUUUUUGCUUCUCUGUUGUAUCUGUUACUCUGUUAUAUGCUCAAUUGUUGUGUGAUUUGUAUAUAAUUGUUGCAUCUUUAGUCUACCAUCAUAGAUAAUAUCAUAUAAAUAUUUUGUUAAUAUUUGAGACAGACCCGCUCACCCGCUCACCUUGUCUUGGACAAGAAUCGAACCCUUGACCUCCCGUAAGGGAGCUAGGUUGAUUCCUUUGGACCUAGAGCUUUUAGGCCAUUGGUUUUGUGGCAUGUAUCUGAUUAUCUGUUAUGCCUUUGCCUUUAUUCAGGACCAUAUAAAACUCAACUGACCAUUGGUGUUAAUAUUGAUGAUGUGGUUCUCACUCGUAGCUGGCAGCUAAAUCUUCUUUCUGUUGUCCCACUCCCAGUCAGCAUCAAAAUUUUUCACUGUUGUGUUUCUUAAGUAGAACUUAUCGUUUAAAAGACUUACGAUGGAUAUAUUGGAGUACCAGAUCAAAUUAGUUUGUAUGGUUAAGUGGAACGUCUGGUUUCAAUAUUCCAUUGAUAAGAUUUAUUGUUCCCAAUCUCUACGGAAAUGAAAUCAUGUCAGUACAAAGUUGCUGCAUGCUGAUGUAUGUCUUGGCAUCAGUCUUAAAUCUAACUUCGAAACCUAGAUGUUGAAUAUAAAUUUGAUAUGUAAACUUUUAUUCAAAAAAAGAAAAUUUUGAAAAAUGCAACUAUACUUUAUUAAAGCAUCGAAAUGCGUGCAAACAGUGAACGUAUACAUCCCAUUGGGACGGAGGGAGUAUAAAUUAGUGAUUUGUUAUGUACAAAUUAGUGAUUUAUGUAGUUAAAAAUAUUGAUAAAAAACUGACCAGAAACUGGUUUUCAGUUUUUAGGCUAAUUUGGUUUGUAUUGGAGUAAGACUCUAUAUAUAUAAUAUAAUAUGAUGUAAUAUAACAUAAUAUGCUAUAAUAUGACUUUAAAAUAAUUUACAAAAUAUUUUCGUUACUAAUAAUAUAAAAAAUAAAUACAAACUACUAUUCUCAUUUUCCGUUCCAUAUCAGAUUAAUUUUUAGAUUUAGUUAUAACAUGUAGUAAAUUGUUAAAGCCUAUAGGAGUCUAUUUUUUAAUAUUUUCAGUUGUAGAUAACCACCUUUGUUGAAACAAUCUUUUCUAGUUCCAAGGUGUUGAAUACUUGUUCAAAUAGAUAUUUAUCCUCCUGUACUGGGAGAAUUGGUCUUCAGUAUUUUCAGAUAUUAGAUUAUUGUCUUCCAGCUUUCUAAGAUAUUAGUAUUAAUUAAUUUCAUGCUUUUAAAUCUGCACUGUACUUUUUGGAGUAUAAAUGAAAUUGUAAAGCAACAUCGAUUUACCGCCUUAUUCUGGCCUAAGUAAGUUAUGGUGCUACUUUUGUGAUAUGGCUGAGGUAAGGUAAGACCGUAAGAGGAUCCCUGAAAGCAAUGUUGACCCUGUCUGUUUGACCCUGUCUGUUUGCGACACAAAUGUGUUGGUUUUUUUUUUUUUUUUUAUCGCAGAUAGGGGUGUUGGUUUAGAAUAUUUUUGAAAUAUAAGCACUGAUUUCUUAAGAAAAGUAUUAUACAGGUUCUUUUUUCUAAGAAAUAGUACUUAAAUCAAGAAAAAUAAGUGCAAGACAAAACGCUCUUAGUUUAUAUCUGAUUAUUUGUAGUUCUAUAUUGUUUAAUUCUAAAUAUGCAGUUCCUUGUAGAUUGCUUAUUGCUGUUCACAUGCAGGAGGAGGUUGCCAAAGAAUUUGGUAUCCCAGUUCAGUUUCAACGUUUCUGGCUCUGGGCAAAGCGGCAAAACCAUACCUACCGUCCCAAUCGACCUUUGACUCCGCAAGAAGAAGCCCAAACGGUAGCAAUUGAGCACUUGAUAUUACUAUCAUUCUGUUGACAAAAAUUUAUGGUAGAUGUUUGUGCUACAAGUUGAAUGUUAAAAAUGAAUUUAUGGUGGUUAUGUUUGUGUUGUGCUCCCAUUCUUAUAAAACUUAUACAGGACAGUCUUCAUGUGUGAGUUUCAGUGUUUUUCUUACACUUGCUUUUAUAGACAGAAAUCUAAUUAUAGCAUGAGUUUCUCUCACACAACCGAGAGCGUCAGCACAUAUUUGCGUACAAAAAUCUAAUUGUACAGAAAACGUGUAUCAAAGUAAAUACAAAUUUCCUAGCAGUUCUGCGUCUGCUUGAAGAAAUUCACCAAAAGUUUUGCUUUCUGGUUAAUCAUUGUAAGAAAAUUAUAACAAGAGGUUCCUCACUAUGGCAACAUGAAUUAGGCAAUACUGCUCAGCAAGAGAAAGCACCAAGCAUAGGUCCAGAUAUUAUGCGCUCAGCAUAUAUUUGAAGAGAGUAGGGAAGUUACUUCUGGGGCAUAUAUGAGUCUUCAUAUGUAAGUGACUAGAAUGUUAUCAAUGCAGGUUGGACAAUUGAGGGAGGUUUCUAACAAGAACCACACUGCUGAGCUGAAGUUGUUUUUAGAAAUUCAGACUGGGCAGGUAAUGAUUUAUUUUUAAGUGGACACCUAUCACAAAUUUUGUUAGCCUUUGCCAAUAUAAGUGACUUGCACAAAAUUUUCAGGACUUGCAUCCUUUACCACCGCCAGACAGAAGUAAAGAGGAUAUACUUCUUUUCUUCAAGCUUUAUGAUCCUAAGAAAGAAGAGCUUCGGUAAUUUUACUUCUAAUAUAGUCACCCCCCCCCCCCCCCCCNAAAAAAAAAAAAAAGAAAAGAAAGGGUUAAUGUUGCACAAUAAUGUCCUUGGUUUUCCUUUUCAGUUACUUAUUUUGUUUUUUUUUUAAUUUUGUUUCGCUAUUUAUGUUUUUUGUUGUAUGUAUAGGUCUUUAGGAGCCAACCUCUUGCAUAGUACACCUUACCUAACAAACAACAGACUACGUGAAUGAUAUAAAUAUUAUUUAUACAGUAUAUCAAAGAUGGAACUCAAUACUUCUUAUGCAGCUGAAGUUUUACUUCCAUUCUGCCUCUAUGUUAUGUAGACAAUCUGCAUUUUACGUUAAGGCAAUGAACAUGAUCCCUUCUACCAGUCCCACACGAGCUCGCCGAGAAAAUCGCCCCUUUUAUGUAGUAUAUAAAAAAUACUAGUUGCUUAUUUAAAUUCAUCCCUUUAGAAAUGGUAAGAAUCUUGGUAAACCUCCUAGUCUUAGUAACUCCCACAUAUUUCCCUAAAAGAGAGAGAUAAUAUUUUUGUACCUAGUCUUUAGUAACCUCCACAAAUGUCCAUUAAAGAGAGACAAUAUUUUGUACCAGGAUAAUUUCUUAAAAAUUUUGGAACACACCCCACACUUGUGAACCCUUGGCUGGAAGUGUCCAAAUAUGGAUACAUGUAUUCAAGUGUCGGACUCCGCAAUAUUUUGAAAAACAUACAUGUUUUUUGGCCUAAAAUAAGUGUCGGAGGUCCGAGUGUCCGACACGGAUAUUGGAGGGCAAGAUGAAGGGCCGGGGUAACAGAGUUGUUAACUGUGGCAACUCUAUGCAAUUCUGAUGAUAAGGGUGUCAAAAGUGAUAUUCGUGAGAGAAUUAAAACAAAUAUGUAUGGUGAUUCAGCAAAGUUGGUAUCCUUGAAGGGUGCACCCAGUUGGAAAUUCUCUUAUAUAAAUUACAGCUUACAAAACCCUAAUUCGAGUUAAAAGUUAUUUUUCCUUUAUCAUUUCAAAUGGGAUUUACAGUCCUAGUUUUUUAGGAAAGGGGGGAUAAUGAAGAUGCAAACGAAACAGAAGCAAAGAGCAUAGGAAAUAAUAAAUAUGUGGGCAUAAAUAAGUGCUUUGUAUUAGAGGUGCAAAAUGUUUCCAGUGCCACCACUGGAAACUAUGUUAUGUGUAUUAUGGUAUGAUUUAAAACAGACAUGCAAUAUAUAAAUUGAUGGACAGGCUCAGGGGGUAAGAAUUGGGAACUUUUUAGGGGAUGAUGCUUAGUAAGAAACACUCUCACAGAGAACCUGUAUAAUAUUAUUAGCAGUAGCACAAAUUUGACCAACUCCCAACUGAUGGUUGCUUACGAGUAGAAACCAAAUAUUCUAAACCAGAAUGUACAUAUUUCUAUAGUAUAACAAUUACUACAAAAAGAUCGUAUGUUAUCUUUUUGUAUAUUCAGAUAACCACAUAACAGAAAAUACUAUGAACAAUAAAAGUUAAUUAUGCAUCCACGUCAUACAUAGUUAUGCAAAGGAAUUUUCCUACAACAGCUUUUUUAAUUUUGAGGCAGUCGCAAAUAUCAUUUUAAAUUGAUUGUUGUUUUUACAGCACGCCCAUCUAUUAAUAGGUGUGCCUUUUAAACAUAUAAUGUAAGAAUUGCAUUUGUAACGUACAUUGGUCAUAUUAUGGCUGAAGUGUUGACUGGCCUAACUCUCUUGUAUUACUGACUGUUGACUCCUUCAAUUUUUUAUCAUGUCAUGUGUCUAGAUAUGUCGGUAGACUUUUUGUAAAGAGUACCGGGAGGCCGCUUGAGAUCUUAUCAAAAUUGAAUGAGAUGGCAGGAUUUGAUGCUAAUGAGGAAAUUGAACUAUUUGAGGUUUGUAUUCCUAUUAAAAUUCCUCCGUCUCUCCUUUUGGUAGCGUGUUACUUUUUACUUAUCUAGAGAAUACUUGAGCGUUUGCAUAUUGUGGAUUGGUUUUGAUUUUAAUGAGGAAAAUGAACAGUUUGAGAUUUGUAUUCCGAUUAAAAUUCCCCCGUCUCUCCUUUUGGUAGCCUGUUACUUUUUACAUGUUUAGAUACUUGAGAUUUUGCAUAUUGUGGAUUGAUUGUUUAAAUGCAUAAUGCUAUUAAUAUUUCUUUGAAAAUUCCUAUUUUAUCUACAUUGGGAAUGGUUUAGAUACGUCAGAACUCUUAGAUUGGUUAGUAGUCUCUGAAUAUGAUCCCAUUCAGGAGGUUAAAUUUGAGCCUUGCGUGAUGUGUGAACGACUUGACAAGAGAGCUUCAUUUCGUUUGAGCCAGGUAUUCUCUCUCUCUCUCUCCCUCUCCCUCUUGCCCUCUCUAUAAACCCUUUAUUUUUCCAUUAAAUCAACCAUUAAAUCAAGGAGAAGUGAGGUAAAAAUAUUGUUAAUCAAGGAGAAGUGUGGUAAAAAUAUUGUAUUGUAAUCAUUGCCCCUUAUUUGUAAUAUUUUUCAGAGCAAAUAAGUUAAUAGUCUAUACUUGAAAGGCAUAUGUUUAGUCUAUUUGUAAUUAAAGAGGUAUCAACUCAACUAUGAUAAGAAAGCUAAGUAAAUAGCAAGCACUAUUGAAGAAAUCAGUACGAAGAACGUCAAGUCAUUUAUUGAAAUCAUAUAUCUGAAGAAUNUAUUUUACAAUUUGGAUAUGAUGGAGUGACUUUGCUUUGUAAUUAUAUUGCCUUAUAGUUUAAUUCUUAUUAUGUGAUAAUCGUCUCCAGAUUGAAGAUGGGGACAUAAUAUGCUUCCAGAAAUAUCCACAGCCUCAAAAUGAAGAGGAAUGCAGAUAUCCAGAUGUUCCCUCGUAUUUGGAGUAUGUUAAGAAUCGUCAGGUACAUUUCUAAAUUUUUUAUUGGCGCAGACCUUUUUUGUACACUACAUGUUCCGUUAUCUUUAAUAUUGAUAAUACAUACAGUAAGUGUUAUUUGUUUCUAUUUUUUUUAAUUUCAGAAGUAGUUUUUUGUGGUUAGGAAUUAUUGUUUUACCCAGAUAUCUUUGUCUUUUAUUCAUGAAUCUGAAACCUACAACCCUAGUGUCAGUAUAAAUAUAUAAAUCUGCUUAUUUGCCCAAAUGGUAUCUUCAUAGUUCCUGACUCCUGGGUUAAGAAUUACAAUAGCUAUCUUUAACAAAAGAACUGAACUCUGAAUAUUUUCCUCUACUAAGAUUGUAGAUCUGGUUCAGGAAGGUUAUUUGUUGAUUAUAUGUCGCAGCACAGUCGUAAGAGCCUGUUUGGCCAAUUUCUUUUCCUGGCUUAUUAGUCAGAAAAAGUAGCUGUAGCCUAGAAGUACGGGCUUUAAGAUUGGAAGAUUUAUAACACUUUUGAGUUAAAAUGGGUAAUAUAAAUUAAUAUUCUGAUUGAUCCUUUUACGACCUGUAGUACUUGGUGAGUGAUAUAAGAGAGCUGCUAAAGUCGUUUUGUUGCUGUGGAGUGUGGUCUUUUGCUUCAAAAAAUUUUCAGCUUCAUGUUUUUUAAUCUGCAGAUUGUUCAUUUUCGAUCUCUUGAGAAGCCCAAGGAGGAUGAUUUUUGUCUAGAAUUGUGAGUACAACAAUCUUAUGUUAUACACAUCUUCUGCGACAAUAAUAGCUUAAGAUGGUUUCAUGUUAAAUUAUAGGUCCAAAUUACAUACCUAUGACGAUGUCGUUGAAAGAGUUGCAAGGAAGCUAAGACUGGAAGAUCCUUCAAAGAUCAGACUUACUCCGCACAACUGCUACUCCCAGCAACCUAAACCGCAUCCAAUAAAAUAUAGAGUAGCAGAACAUCUGUUAGAUAUGCUGGUGCAUUAUAAUCAGGUUGCUACAUCACAAUGCCUAGUGUUCAUGCAAUCGGCUAUUUGUAGUUUGGUGUACAUAGCUAAAUGUUUACUGUUUUAUAUAUUAUGAAGAAGGGCAAGUGACACAAUGAUCGCGUGCAAGCUUACAGUUUUUUGUUUCUCUCUGAAUAGAUAUCUGAUAUUCUGUACUAUGAAGUGCUCGAUAUCCCUCUUCCAGAACUGCAGUGUCUCAAAACUCUAAAGGUUGCUUUCCAUCAUGCAACUAAAGAUGAAGUGAGUCUGGAAAUGCUUUCUGCCCACUUGUGCUCAAGUAAUUUAAAAGCAUUUCAUGGUUUUAAUUUAUUACACUUUUCUCAGGUGGUUAUCCAUAACGUCCGGCUGCCAAAACAGAGCACUGUAGGAGAUGUGCUUAAUGAAAUUAAAACAAAGGUAGAUUUGGUUGGAACUUGCUGUUGAAUACUUUGCUAUGCUGCUACUGUAAUGCUUAUUUGUUGCAUGUGCAGUCUCUCUCUCUGGUAGCAACAUUAGUAAUAUCUCUUUGUACCUGUUUUGCAUGCUUCAUCUAUCAUGGUUGUUCACGUUGAGUCGGCAGGUGUCUGGUUAGUCAAUUAGGAGACAAGUCGACGACUAGGCAGCAACUCUAAAAUAGUAAUUUUUUUUAAUAUUACUUCUAUAAAUCAUAGGCACAUUUUUUACUAAUGCAGUUGCACAUCAAAUCAAACAUACUUAAUAAAAUCACACACAAUACAAGUAAUUAACUGUCGAAGUAAGAUUAAAACAGUUUAAAUAUAUGAGAUUAAACGAGUCCACCAAAGUUAGAGCAGAUAUCAAAUUAUAACAGUUUCACGAUAUAAAAUGAAAUAUUUACAAAACUAUAAUAAAUUUAACUAAUAUAAAACUAAUUUAGUUUUAAAAAUUUGUAUAUGUCUCUGUUAAAAUUUACAAAAUAUACAUGUCAAUCUGCUAUCCCUCCCUCAUUUACCUCUCUCGUUUUCAUUAUAACCCCUAUCAGUUUGGGGCAAAUUUUGACCCAAUGUCCACUAGUUGACUAGUCACUAGCUUGAAGUUUCUUCUGGCAAGUUAACCAACAUUCCUCCAAAACUAAAGUUGGUAAUCUGAUUCGAUCCUGAAACCGCAACUCACUCGAAAGCCGACAACCAUGCUUUCUAUAUAGAUUUUAUUGCACCAUCAUAAUUAUUUAUUUUAUUUUGUUGUAUAAAUUAAUUUUACCAAAUAUUUUAUGCUUCCUUUUGCAGGUAGAAUUAUCUCAUGCCAAUGCGGAGCUUAGACUUCUUGAAGUGUUCUAUCACAAGAUUUACAAGGUAUAAGUACAUUUGAUUGUAAUUUCGUAUGCUGCUAUGGGUCCUCUAUAAUUGCUAAAGCUCGUUGUUAGUUUGUCUUAAAAAAAUAUAUUAUCGUAAUACAUACUAGUUUACUUCUGCUGAUUUUUAUCAAUAUUUGGUUUGUAAUAUUAGGGUUCAACAUUUGAUGUUGACCAUUAUUCCUCUGACCUCUUUUUGCUAGAUUUUUCCUCUGAAUGAGAAAAUUGAGAACAUAAAUGACCAAUACUGGACACUGAGAGCAGAGGAGGCAAGUAAAUUUAAUUAUACCUUUAUUUUUUCAUGUGCUUGCUGAAUUUGAAAAGAGGUUUAAUGUUUAAAAUAUGGCCUUUUGUGUUCAGUCAAGCGUAGUUGAUGUGUAUUUUGCAAUAAGUGUUUCCUUAUAUUCUAUUAGAAUGGCUUUGCUUAAAAUGAUUCUUUUCUGCACAACACAGAUACCUGAAGAAGAAAAGAACCUUGGUCCACAUGAUCGCCUGAUACAUGUUUACCACUUCUCAAAAGAGACUGCCCAGAAUCAAAUGGUAAUAAAGAUCACAUACAAAAGAUAAGAAAAUAAUUGCUUUGAUGUGUUGGCCGUAACUGUGCAUAAUUCUAGCCAACUGUUAGAUGUGGAGAUUUAUAUGGAAUGUACAUUGUUUGGUUUUGACAGCAAGUACAAAACUUCGGGGAGCCAUUUUUCUUGGUCAUCCAUGAAGGUGAAACUUUAGCAGAAGUUAAAAUGCGUAUUCAAAAGAAAUUGCAGGUUUCAGAUGAGGAGUUUCUGAAGGUAUAUUCAUUUCUUUUUACAUGGCUGCUUAAUAUUUAAUUUUCAACCAGAUGUAACAAUGUUUUUCACUUGAUUUGUAAUGUGAGAAUUGACACACUUUUUUGGGUACAUGUACUUUCUGGGGGUAUCAGUGGAAAUUUGCGUUCUUAUCACUGGGAAGGCCAGAGUAUUUGCUGGACUCGGAUGUUGUAUCUAGCCGUUUCCAGGUACACAAAUUUCUUUGCUUAAUUUGAGUGUUUAAAGUUAAUAUAAGCAACACCCAAGUAAAGAAUGUAAAUAUGAGUGAAACAUGUAGAUGUUAAAUGGGUCAAAUCUUUUGGAGAGAAGAUAAUUGCUAAAGCUUGACGCGGCUAAAAUUUUGAUGUUGGUAUGUGCAGAGAAGGGACGUGUAUGGUGCUUGGGAGCAAUAUCUUGGGUUGGAGCACCCUGACAAUACUCCUAAAAGAGCUUUUGCUGCAAACCAGGUAUAAUUUUUUGCUGUAUGAGAUGAUAUAAGGAGGUUGGUCUAUUUGUUGGAUGUUUAUGAAAAUGCUUUGCUGAUAGGAGAUAAUGCAAGCAUGUUACUAAUAUUACAUUAUAUUACAUUUUUGAUGAUAUAGGUGAAAUAAGUUGUAUUUUUAUGAUGGGGUGUAUUACAGGUUAAGUCUUGUGAUUUUUUUUUUUUGCAGAACCGGCACACAUAUGAGAAGCCCGUUAAAAUUUACAACUAAUUGUUGAGCAACCAACAAUGCCCUGAUGAAUUUCCACCCUCCUAAGACCACAUUGGUUAUUUAGGAAAAGGGCCAAGAGGAUAUGGCAGCAGGAGACGUUAGUAGAGAACGUGUUAUGAUCCAUUUUUUCAUUUUGCCAUUUACCCUUUUCCAGCUAUAAUCGCUUCAUUUUUAGGCUAUAAUUCCUAUUAUUUGAUUGGGCGGGGAAGAAAUGGUUUCUCUGAGAUUUGACCUGUUUUUACCUGCCCUCUUGGCUUUCCGAAUCCUUGACCUUCUGGUCCUCUAUAGCAAGGCACUAAGUUUCAUGAAGAGGAUUGGGCACUUUAGUAUUCGGUUCCUGUUGUAGUUUAGUCAGGUACAUAAAAAGAUUUUGAUUGAGUGGAAUGUAAUCUGGGUGUGGUAGUGUAGUCGGUGCUUUCUUUCGCCCGUCAUUUGUUUAGGAGGAAGGUUGGAUAUUGUCUCUUACUAGGUGGGAGUAGAUGCGUUUUUAUGAUAUUGUAAAGGUUUGCUGUUCAGCUGUGAAAAGAUCUAUUUUAUAGUGCCUAUAUCUUUAUACUAUCUUGUAAAAAGUUUCAACUCAGUUAUGUAAUCAAUAUAAUAAAUCUCGUGUAGAACUGAAAGAGUCUCAAGUCUUCCCAUGGCCACUCGAUCUUUACUUUAUUGCUUUUGCCAUGUAAUCGGCAACUUAAUCUAGUAUAAUAAUUCCAGGACUUGGGGGUUGGAAAAAAGUGAUCAAAAAUUUUAUCAGGAAAAAGUGUGUACACUACAGUGAGCAGACUCUUUUCCCUAAUUACUAAUUUAGAAGUUUACUUUAUUAAUAAGUGGUUAAGCAAUCACUGCUUGAAUAUCGUUUUCAAGUGAUAAAAACAGUUUUCCAACUAAUUCAAACCUCUUCAAAAGAUGAGCGGGAAGAAGCAUAAUGAAGGGAGCCGGGUACGUUUUGAUAUGUUGUCAAGGAGUUUGCAUAGGGGUAAGUUUUGAUAUGUUGACAAGAAGUUUGCAUAGGGGUCAUUUUAUAAAUAUGUUUUGUGCAUCUUUGCUUUUUCUGGUGCUGAAUAACGAUGUACUCCUCACUUGGCCACUAAAGACAUCGCAUAUUAUUAAAUAUUUAGGAUGUGUUCACUUCAUGGAAUGGAAUGAGGGGAGAAUGGAAUGAAAAAUUAUAUAGAAGUUUUAAGGAGAAAGAAGAAAGUAUGAGAUAAUGAUGACAAAAUAUGAAUGUAGUUAAUUUUUUUGUGACAAAAAUUGUGAAGAAACAUGAUGUUAAAAUGGAAUGAGCAUUCCUACCAAAACAUGUGGGUUAGAGUUAUAAUUUAAAUAGUAAGGUUGGAAUGAUUGAAGGAAUGAAAAUUAUACACAUUUUUUUUGAUCAACACCAUUUUAGAGUACAAAAUUCAUUCCAUUCUCCCUCCAUUCCAUUCACUCCAAGUGAACACAACCUUAUGUUGUGUUUGGUUGGGGUGAAUGAAAAUGGAGGGAAUGGAAUGAGAUUUGAACUAUAAUUUAGUUGAAUGUUUAAUAAUUUCAUUCCUUCCACCAUUCCAUUCCCAUCACCCUUAACUAGAUCUCAAGCCCUCCAUUUUGUGAAAGAAUGCUUCAUUCCUUAUCAUACCUAUUUUCUACCCAAAUCUUAUCAUACAAAAUUUGCCCUCACUCAUUUUUUUCAAAGUCCUCCAUCCUACACUCUAUUAUGUUCUUUAAUUUAUACUCAUUUCAUUCCCAUUCCAUUCCAUUCACCCCAACCAAACACAACAUUAGUCUCUUGUUUGGAAGCUAGAGGUUUGGAGAGUUUAAGAGGUUUGACUAUUUCAAUCGAGCUAUUAACCAAAAAACCCAACCAACUUGUAAUUUUUUUGUCAAAAAACUUUUUAACUUUUCUUUUCACUAACAACCCAGUGAACUUUAUUCAAAUCAUAUAAAACAUAUAAAAUAACCAUAGUUAAAAUAUACCCAUCUGACUUGUCUAAGUAUCUUUCCAUAAUUCACAUCUUUUUAUACAUUUAUGCGUCAAAUAGUGCCUAUUCAUUAAUAAUAUUAAUAAUUAUAAUAUUUUAAUUUCAUAAACCCAUAUUAUAUAGAAGGUAUAAGGGUUUUCAUAUCUCUAUCAUAAAUUAAUGGGGUUAUGUGUUUUACGUUUGUGAAGAGCUCAGCAAAUGGAUGUUAUUCCUAAACUCCGUUUAAUCAAAAUUACGUAAUAAAAAAUAUAAUGUCCUCCAUUUUGUAUUUUAGAUUAUUUUUGUAGUGUGGGGGGAUUAUUUGCCAAAUUCAGGCUUGGCUCUGGGUUUUUUGUGGUGAGCAGCUUUGGAGAGGAUGUUUGUCUAAUUUUAUUUGGCUUGAAUAAAAAAAUUUAUUUAUUUAUUUAUUUUUGAUUUACUAUUUUUUGAUUAAUUGUAAUCAUGUUGUCGCAUAAGAUAUGUGAUGAUUAUAGUUAGUUCAGGUCGGUUAUAAGUAAUCGUAGUUAAUUUUUUAAAAGAUUUAGUAAAGUUGAUUGGGGUUGUUCGUGAAAAUAAAAGUUUAAUGGUUUUUUGGCAAAAAAAUGACAAGUAUAUUGGGUUUUUUUGGUUAAUAGCUCAUUUCAAUCCGCUAAUGCUAGUGUUUGAUAGUUAGCGGAUUUAAAUGACCUUAAAAAACUAAUUUUUAUUUUGAGAAACUUUUUGGGUUAGAGGUUUUGAUGUGUGUCAUAAAAAGAAACCGCUGAUUCAAUUCGUUAGUCGAAACAUCUAUUUUAAUCAGCUAGUCAAAACAUUUAAUUCAAUCCGCUAAUAGCUAAUUCUCAAAUAGGGCCUUAGUCAAAAAUAAAAGGAUACGAAGUGCAAAUAAGUCCCUUUUCUUUAUUAAAUAACAUAUUCUAAAGCUAAGAGUACAUAUCAUGCCAAUACCUAGAAAGGCAUGAACCAAACGAUCUCGAAAUGAUUUUAAACAAUUUCAAUUGAAUAUCCUCUCAAUUGAAUAUCCUCUUAUGAGUAUUAUUAGCUUGACUAGUGUGAUAAAAAGGAAGUUGAAGAUAAAAUCUUAAAAAUCCACUUUUACUAUCGGCAAUAAUCAGAAAGAAGUGAGAUUAAUAGCGAUAGCAAUGAACAUUCACUUUCUUGACUUUCUUCUCCGUAUAUUUAUCUCAAAUUGUUUCCGAUUUCUUUUUUCAAAUGAGAGAUAAAAGGAUGAUUAAUUUUAAUUGGAUGGUUUGCAUGUAGGGGUCUCAUUAUUAUUAGUGCAAGUGUAACGAAAUAUGCCUUGCCAACUAGAAUAGGAAAAAAAAAUUGGAAACGGUACCUAGCAUUUUUCUAGAAUUAAAUCUGGGAUUCUGUUAAUUAUCACGAGCUUAUCUUUCUCUGUACAAUGUCUUCUUCUUCUGCAACCAUGAUAACUGAUAAUGAAAAUGGUGAUUCUAUUGAGCAACAAUCCUCUAAUACUUGUGGUGUUUCAAGUGAUACUUCAACCACACAACUAAUUGCUGCUCCAAGUAAUGCUACAACCACACAAGAUUCAAGAAAACAUAAAGGAAACAGAUCUCCUACAAGCAGGCAUCAAAAGAGGAGCAGAUCUCGAAGGAAGACUAAUGAAGGGCCUAGUUCAAGCUUGGAAAGAGCAAAUUAAGGAAAAUGCUAAAAAAAACUAUGAAUAUGAUUGGACUGCCACCAUAUACAUAAAUUUGUAAUAUACACGGGAAGGACUGUCCAAAUAUUACUUGAAUUGAGCAAAUAAUAUGAGAAUCAACACAUAGUAUUGCAUGCCNUGGUUUUUUGGCAAAAAAAUGACAAGUAUAUUGGGUUUUUUUGGUUAAUAGCUCAUUUCAAUCCGCUAAUGCUAGUGUUUGAUAGUUAGCGGAUUUAAAUGACCUUAAAAAACUAAUUUUUAUUUUGAGAAACUUUUUGGGUUAGAGGUUUUGAUGUGUGUCAUAAAAAGAAACCGCUGAUUCAAUUCGUUAGUCGAAACAUCUAUUUUAAUCAGCUAGUCAAAACAUUUAAUUCAAUCCGCUAAUAGCUAAUUCUCAAAUAGGGCCUUAGUCAAAAAUAAAAGGAUACGAAGUGCAAAUAAGUCCCUUUUCUUUAUUAAAUAACAUAUUCUAAAGCUAAGAGUACAUAUCAUGCCAAUACCUAGAAAGGCAUGAACCAAACGAUCUCGAAAUGAUUUUAAACAAUUUCAAUUGAAUAUCCUCUCAAUUGAAUAUCCUCUUAUGAGUAUUAUUAGCUUGACUAGUGUGAUAAAAAGGAAGUUGAAGAUAAAAUCUUAAAAAUCCACUUUUACUAUCGGCAAUAAUCAGAAAGAAGUGAGAUUAAUAGCGAUAGCAAUGAACAUUCACUUUCUUGACUUUCUUCUCCGUAUAUUUAUCUCAAAUUGUUUCCGAUUUCUUUUUUCAAAUGAGAGAUAAAAGGAUGAUUAAUUUUAAUUGGAUGGUUUGCAUGUAGGGGUCUCAUUAUUAUUAGUGCAAGUGUAACGAAAUAUGCCUUGCCAACUAGAAUAGGAAAAAAAAAUUGGAAACGGUACCUAGCAUUUUUCUAGAAUUAAAUCUGGGAUUCUGUUAAUUAUCACGAGCUUAUCUUUCUCUGUACAAUGUCUUCUUCUUCUGCAACCAUGAUAACUGAUAAUGAAAAUGGUGAUUCUAUUGAGCAACAAUCCUCUAAUACUUGUGGUGUUUCAAGUGAUACUUCAACCACACAACUAAUUGCUGCUCCAAGUAAUGCUACAACCACACAAGAUUCAAGAAAACAUAAAGGAAACAGAUCUCCUACAAGCAGGCAUCAAAAGAGGAGCAGAUCUCGAAGGAAGACUAAUGAAGGGCCUAGUUCAAGCUUGGAAAGAGCAAAUUAAGGAAAAUGCUAAAAAAAACUAUGAAUAUGAUUGGACUGCCACCAUAUACAUAAAUUUGUAAUAUACACGGGAAGGACUGUCCAAAUAUUACUUGAAUUGAGCAAAUAAUAUGAGAAUCAACACAUAGUAUUGCAUGCCUACAGAUACUAAGAACUUAUCCAUAAUUUUGGGGGUAAACUAGCAAUACGUUUCAAUCUCAAGAAGAAAACAAGUAAGAAAGAGUACUCCACAACAGAAACCAGAAACCAAUUUUCCGAGGAUUCUGAAAAUUGCAUUGCAAAACCUAUAAGUAAAUAACACUUGGAUUUAAAAAUCCAAUGACCAAAAGUUGAAGAUGACAUAUGGACACUAGUUUUCAGAUCACAGCAGAUGGUAUUCAUGGACAGUGAGAUGUGCAGAUAUCACACUUGCGUUCGUGUGAGACAUCUCCACUGCCCUACGCGAGGUCCCUUAUCCAGGAGCGAUAGCAGUCCCACAUUAUUUGGUGACAUCGCGGACAUAUACCUGAAAUAAAAACAUCCAUAUCAGGAGCUACCCUACCAGACAGAGAUAACUUCAUAGCAUAACUUGAAAAUACUCAGAGGUUUGGUUCACAUACCUGCUUCGGAAUUCUUUCUUUCUCCAUAAAACAAAUGAUACAAUCCACUGUGCAUGAAAUGAAAAGUUGUCAAGUGGAAGCCAAGAAGGCACAAGUAUGGAUGCAUUAUAGAUGGACAAACAAUCUACUCUAGUUAAUAGCAGCACUUUAAACUCUAUACUCUCUCCGUCCCAGCGUUGAGUAAAAGUAGUGUGAAAAGGUAAGAAAAGUGGGAAAGUGGUGGGAUCCAUUGACUGUUUUUGGUAAGUUUUGAAAUGUAAAGAAUUGGAUGGGACAUCCCAAAAAGAAAAUGGUAAAGAAAUGGUAGGGACAGAGGGAGUAACAGACUUAACAUGCAACAAACUGUAUACAAAGAUAUAGGAAGAGCUAUCAACAGUUGCAGGAAUCUGGAGACUACCUUGCAUAUAGACAUAAAUGAGGACCCUCCUUUGCCAGAUGACUUUUUCGCGGCUCCUCUUCCAGGGGAUAUAUCAUUACAAAGUUGUUGAGCUAUCUCCUUCAAUAAUACUAGCUGUGCCUUGUCUGUUCGCAUAGAUAUGAGUGCCUGACUCAUGGAUUCUCUAUCCGCUUCAAGUGCCUGAAGCCUCAAGUAAAGCUUCUUGAUCUCAGGGUCUGCGACGUCUGCUGUAUUCACUGACUCCUCUGGUGUAUAGUCUUCACAAUUUCUAAUAAAAGCCUUUGGAUCCGUAACAUCAUUAUACGAUACAUUAUGAACGGAAUCGAUGGUGUAUACUCUAUCACUCAUGUCAUCUUCAACUUCGGAAGCAUUCUCUACCUUCUUCAAAUGAGAGAAUUCCUCUGAAUGAAUGCAAUCCAUUCUUUUAGCGGUGCCAAGCUCUGGAGAAACAGUGGCACCAUCAGAAGCUGUCUCCUUAACUGUCGCGAAAUAAGAAUUGGUGCUGUCGGUAGAAAACCUCCUAAUAUGUCUAGACCUCCUAGGGGAAUGACCAACUAUCACCUUUUCAAGCACUGUUUUAGUACCAAAGAAAUCCACAUCAGGCUGACUCUGUUUUGGAGUUUGUUCUAGCUGAUUGAUCCGAUUCUCCAAGUCCUUUAGAUGGUCUCGAGACCUUGGGGUCUCGCCAAAUGCAUACUUCUCCACGUCAACAAUAUCAUUAUCAGUCUCGAAAGAAGCCUGAUUCUCAUUCAGCUUGCACUUGAGUGGAGGGUAUUCAUAGGUGGGAAUUUCACACUGGAAAUCUGAGAUUGUUUCGACACUAUUAGCCCGGGUAAUGCCAGCUUCCUUGUCACCCUCCUUUUCUCCGUCCGCCUCUUCCUCUGAAAUACCAUAACUCAUCAUUCUAUAUUUAUAAGCCUGAACCUCACAAGUAAGAGAUUGAAUGGUCUGGUCUCUCUUAUACAGCAAAUCCUCCAUCGCAGCAAUCUCGUGAUCAUCAUGAGCCAUCUUCUCCUCUGCAAAGCGCUUGAAUUGGCGGGCCUCCAUCUCAAUCUCUGCCUUUUCCCUCUCUAACCUCAAAAUCAUUGACAUCGCCUCAUUGGCAGCCGUCGAGGCUGCAUUCCUCUCCUCUUCGAGUUCGAUAGAGAGAUCCAUAAUGCUCUGCUGCUGCUUGGUGACCAUUUCACGCAACGCAACACACUCAUUUGAGAUCUCAACCUUAGCAACAUGAGUGAUAUCAAGACCAGAUAGCGGAAAGCCUUUCUCUUCCUCGAGUUCAUGGAACUUUCUCCUGGCAGGCCCAAACAAAGUUCCGGAAAAUGAGCGAUUCAUGAUUGUACCACUACUACCACUAUCACUAGGACAAUGUACUAAAUUUGUUGAACUAGGAUCCUCUUCAGAACUCAUGGCCAACUUUCAGGAAGAAACAAACAAACUAUUAAGUAUACAACAACAAAAAGAUUAUUUUUAAUAAUAAUGUUUACAGGAACCAGCUCCCAAACCCUCCUUCUCCUCCCCCUAAUGUACUAAUACAAAUUUGUAGCUAAAACGCUUCCUCAAUCUCAGAAAACAACAAUUUCACUUCCUCAGAUCGAUGAAUUAGGUACGACUCCUGCAAUGUUGAACAAAUCAAAACCGAUCAAUCACAAACACGUUUAUAUCAAUGUGAAACGCGAGAAAUAAAGGCUCUGCAGAACAAAUUUCCACAUCUUUAAUAUACAUUGUUCAGAAAAUGAAAAAGCAAACAACAUAAAAUUGAGGAAAUGAUGAUAUAUAUAUUACCUUAAAGGAGCUCGUAAAGAAAGCAUAUUAAUAUGUUGGAGGAGGUCUCGAGAGGAAGAAGGGAUUGAAUUUUCCCGGGAAAAUUAUGAAACAUUUUCUCGGGAAGGAAUGAUCAUCUCAAGUGAGAGAGAGGGAGGGAGAGAAUAGAGAGAGGGAGAGAGGCUUUCUCUAAGUUUAGAGACUUUCUAAAAACAGGGAGAUUUUCACGGGACAGAGAAAUGGUUUGGAAACUCUACAUUUUAUUGGAGUAUAUAUUUUGUUUCUCUGCAUCUAAAUUCUUUCAUUCUUAUUCUUCCUACUCCCGCUAGCGCGAGUUGUCAGUUCAAAUUAUUUCUUCUCUUGUCAGAAUGAACUUCCUUAAUGGUCCUGUCGUCGAGCUUACAAAACUCUAGCCAAAUGCAGUUUAUUUGUAAACGAGUGGAAUACGAACAGAAUCAUAAGGUUUGGUUGUAUAUGAGGACACCAAUAUGAAUCUCGGACUGUACAUCUUUAAGCGUAACAGACUUUCUUUUAUGCUUAAUUAAGUUAGUUUAUACAGUAUUGUUCUACAAAUUCUCAUUUUCUUGACGAUGUAAUGGCCUGCAGAUGAUAAAAUGGAAAAAAUUCGGUAUCACAUAAAACAGAGCGAUGAUCACAGACAAAACCAGUUUAACAUGUGUGGCAAAGUAUUGCUAAAGGAUGUCAAAGUAUUUGCUUUAUGCCUCUGGACAACUUGGAUGGUAUCACAUUUCGUCCAGGGAAUCGACGGGAGGAUAUCUUUGACAAUAUUCAUCAAAUGUUCGAGUGAUUAUGCUCACACUUUCUAUGACAAAGCUAAUAAGUUCGCUUAUACCAUCAGAAGAUAUGAUAUUAUGAUUGGUGGAAUAAAGUUUGGGCGCCUCUCCAGAGUUUAAUUAGGAGACUCUUUUUAUGUUGAGGCAAAAGAUAUGUAAUUUUAUAUUUUCUUCUCUUAUACUUGAAAUGUAUUUCUAAACUGUUGAUUGUCCUUGAUGCUAACUGCUGUUUGCAAUUUUACUGAAAAUUUUCAUACACUUGCCAGAAUUUUGGCUUUAACAGACUUGCAUGCUUUGCUCUAAUAUUAUAAUCUGUUGCCUAUUCAGGUGGUGAAAAUGUAGGUUUAUAUAUGUGGGAAUGUGGGGGAUGAGUCUUGCCUUUACCUAUUUACUUUUACAUCACACCCAUAUGUGAUUUAGAAACUUGCUACUUAGGUUGAUUCAUUGCUUAAAACAAUGCAUUUCAUUGUCGUAUGCAGGUGGAAAAGAUAUGGAAGAUGAUGCUGGGGAAGCAUGUGGUCGUAUGGCGGACAUGUUUUGCCGUUUGCUUUCAUCCAAUCUGCAGGACCUCUCUAAUUUCAAGUUUUUGUUUGCUUAGUUUUAAGAUAUAGUGGGUGUUUGUCUGGGACUUAUAAGCCCGGCUUCUGAAUUAUAAGUUAUGAGCACUUAUUCGUACCGUUUGUCUAAUAAGUCAAGAAGCACUUAUAAAAAGCUAGGAAUGCUAGCUUUUGUUUCAGGGCUUCUACUUAUUUCCCAAACACUUUAAUCACUUAUGAAUCUUAUCUUGCUUCUGACUAACUUCUACUCCACUUAUUUAUUUUAUGCAAUAAGCACUUAUAUUAAGCUCACCCAAACGGCCCCAUAGUAGCAUUACUUGUGUUAUGUUUUAAAAGCAAAUCAAACAUAAAUUUGGUAUUUUGGGUAAUCCGUAAGGCUUGUGUCAAACAUGACACGGUUGUGAAUAUUGCAAUAGCUUACCUUUCACGACAUAAAAUUGUUCAUAUUUUGUGGUCAUUUGUUGAUGCAAUAUCAGUUGAUGUAACUGAUAAUUCCGAACAUUGGGUUAUAGAUGCUGCUGCUUAUGUGAAGGUCGAUUGCGAUGCUACUAUGUUCACAACUGAUGUAGGUUGGAUUGUUCUAGAUUUGAUUGUAAUAUCUUUUGGUUUAAAGAAUUUAAAUAUUUUUUAUUUGUUAAGCGAUCUGAAAACAAAGCGGCUAUAUGUUUAGCUUAUUUUUUGUUUCUUAAUAUGGUUGUAUUUGACAGUUUGAGGGUUUGUCUUGGCUGAUUUUCAGUUAUUUAUUAAAUUCUUCGCUUUUCGUCAAAAAAACAUAAAUUUGGUAUUUAAAAAAAAACUUCUUUAGAAAUCGAUUACCGCACGUUUUGAGAAAAAGUUAUAUUUUUGAUGAAAUUUAAUAGUAAAAUUAUGAUAACUUUCCGCAAAAACUGAAAACAAUUUUUUUCUAAAAAUAUGAUGACCAGCUUUUUUCUAAAGACAUUCUUUUCGAAAAAGUUAUUUUUGAAUUUAUGAAAUAUUUUUCGCCUUCUCGGCAAAAAAAUGUUGUUGUUGUAUGCAACAACAAUAUAUGCUUUAGCUAAUACUCAAAGUAAAUCAGAGUUUUUCUUUUUUGAAAUUAAAGUAAAUUAGAGUUCUAAUUUUUCUUUAGAGUAAAAAUCAAAUUAAUAAUUUUAUAAUUACAUAUAACUUAUAUAAUAAAGAUUUAAUCCUUGAGGCGUGUUUUGGGAUAAGCAUUUUGUGUGAGCAUUUUCAACAGAGAUUCUAAAUCAUUUUAAAAGAUAUAAUAUAAUGUUAAAUAAAUGAACUAUGUGCACAUUUAAAAGUUAACUUAUAUAGCAAUGAUUUAAAAGGAUCUGCACAUUUAAUGCUCUUACAGUCUUACACAUUUGAUGCUCUUAUUGCAUCUCCAAUGGCGUUGACUAUAAUCGUUGGCCAAAUGGGAUCUGUAAGACAUUUUGUAAAAUUUGCUGAACCUGUAAGACAUUUUGUUUCAAUGAUAUUGGCUAUAUUAGUUGGCUAUAAUUUAAAAAAUAUAUGUUAUUAAUAUUUUAGAUUGUUAAAAUAGAAUAUAUCAGUUCAAUAUGCUAAUAAAUGAUGUGCAAUCUUCCUACAAAUUUCUUACAGACAUGUAGAGGUUCGACAAAUUUAGCCAUCCAUAGGAGGUUGACUAAAUUUAUAGACAAUAGCUGAGCAUGGUUGGAGUUGAGUUUUUCGAGCUGUUGGCUAAAUUUUUUUUAUUUUAAGUAUGCUAACUCAUCUUUUAGCCAAGGGUUUUCAAUGGUUGAAGAUGCUCUUAGAGCAUCUCCAACGGUGUUAGCUAUAAUCGUUGGCCAAAUGAGACCUAUACGAGCAUCUCCAAUGGCGUUAGCAUAAAUCGUUGGCUAAAUGAGACCUGUAAGAGCAUCUCCAACGGCAUUGGCUAUAAUCGUUGGCUAAAUGGGACCUGUAAGACAUUAUGUAAAAUUUGAUGAACCUGUAAAGACAUUUUACUUCAAUAGUAUUGGCUAUAUUGGUCGGCUAUAUAUAAUUUAAAAAUAGUAUGUUAUUAAUAUUUUAGAUUGUUAAACUAGAAUAUAUCAGUACGAUAUGGUAAUAAAUGAUGUGCAAUCUUUCUACAGAUUUUCUUACAGACCUGUAGAGGUUCCACAAAUUUAGCCAUCCAUAAUAAGUUAACUAAAAUUAUAGAUAACAACCGGGUAUGGUUGGAGCAUGUGUUUUUUGAGCGAUUGGCUAAAUUUUUUAUUUUCAGUAUGCCAACUCACAUUUUAGCUAAUGGUUUUCAAUGGUGGAAGAUGCUAGACAUUAUGUAAAAUUUGCUGAACCUAUAAGACAUUUUGCUUCAACGGUAUAUAUUGGUUGUCUAUAAUUUAAAAAUAGUAUGUUAUUAAUAUUUUUGAUUGUUAAAAUAGAAUAUAUUAGUUCAAUACGGUAAUAAAUGAUGUGCAAUCUUCCUACAGAUUUCUUACAGACCUGUAGAGGUUCGACAAAUUUAGCCAUCCAUAGGAGGUUGGCUAAAAUUAUAGACAACAGCUGAGUAUGGUUGGAGUUGAGUUUUUCGAGCUGUUGGCUAAAUUUUUUUAAUUUUUGUAUGCCAACUCACCUUUUAGCUAAUGGUUUUCAAUGGUGGAAGAUGCUCUUAGAUAAUCUCCGACCACCAAAAGCUCUCGAUUAAAAUGUGAGUUGACAUACCAAAAAUACAAAAUAUAGCCAAACGCUCAAAAAACUCCCACUCCAACAUGUAAGACAUUAUGUAAAAUUAGUAUGUCAUUAAUAUUUUGGGUGAUUAUAAAUAGAAUAUAUCACUUGAAUAUAGUAAUAAAUGAUGUGAAAUCUUCUUACAAAUUGUCUGCAGGUCUGUAGAGAUUCGACAAAUAUAGUCAACCUCUUAAUCUUGGCUAUAUUUAUAGACAAGGAGAAUGCAUUGAAGUUAAUAUUUUUUUGACACAAUCUCUAUAUUUUUUAAUUAUGGUAUGUAUUUAUGAUUUUUAACUAAUGGUCCAAUAGGGUUGGUUAUACGUUGGCUAAAUUGAACCUAUAAGAGCAUCUCCAACCAUGAGAAACACUUGGCUAAAAGUCUAGGUGGCUUACCAAAAUUAAAAUUUAUAACCAAUAUCCACAAAAAACAUCACUCCAACCAUAGCAAACCCUUGUGUAUAAUUAUAGCCACUCCCCCAUGGAUGACUAUAUUUGUCGAACCACUAUAGAUCUGUAUAGAUCUGUAGUGAAUUCCACGUCAUCUCCCGCAAUUUAUUUUCCUCCUUCCCGCUGAUUACAUAUUAUUUUUACCAUAUUAAACUGAUAUAUUCUAUUUAUAACAAUCUAAAUAUUAAUAACAUACUAUUUUUAAAUUAUAGCCAGCCAAUACCAUCGAAGCAAAAUGUCCUACAGGUUCAACAAAUUUUACAUGACUUCUUACAUGUCCAAUUUAGCCAAACACUUUUAGCUAACACCGUUGAAGAUGCUCUUAUAAUAUUACCGAACCAUCUUACUGAGCACAACAUGUCGAAAUCUGUUUGGUUGCAUUGACUGCGAUAAUAAUGAGAGCCCCCCUUUACAUAUAUAUUAAUCAUCCAUCACAAUCUUCCACUUAUACAUUUGAUAAUAAUUUUUGGGAUACAUAGCAUUAUCUGGUUCAAAAUAAACUAUAUCGAAUCAAAUUUGAAUUUUUUGUAAAUAAAUAAAUCAAAUAUUGCAUCUAUUAUAUUUGGUCCUUCAAUCGUAUUGGAUCACAAAAAUCGGAUCAAAACAUAAAAUCAUGCGAAAUAAAAUGUUAACAAGUUACUUUUAUCGGGUUCGUCUUCGGACUGAUAGACCAACCAAAUUUCACCUCCAAAUCUGGACGGGAAAAUUGUGCAAGUGUGACAUGAAGACCGGAGAUUAGAGAGUAAAGUGGAAUGAGACUUCAAACUUCAAAGUAGUUAAAUCCAUCCAGAUCUUAACAAAAGAACGAAGUAAUUUUCACUCCAACAUCAUGAUUCAUGACCAUAAAAAACACUAAAACUAGACGGUGCCCACCCUGUCACAACUGGCCACGUGUCCGUAACCCACCAAUCACAAACCCCGAGGCCGGCCAAGUCCUUUUCUUUAGCCGCUUUUAAGUCCCCAACGUCUCAAUAUAGAUCCGUUUCCAACGGACACAAUUUCAGUCCAACUACUUUUUAAAUUUAUCCCACCAAUUAUAACACCAACAACGCGUUUGUUUCAUUGAUAAAAAUAUUACACUUGCACCAAAUUAACGCGUUUCCUCUCAUCCAUAAGUUCCCCUCAAACCAGACUCUGUUCGUACACUACAUCUUCUCCUAAAUAUACACAAUGCUAAAACAUAAAGCAAUCUCAGCCAUUCUGUUACGAGCUUUUCUCUUCUACAAUGUCCUUAAUUCAAUCCUAGCUUAUCUUGUUCCGAAGAAGCUUCGAAACUACGUUCCUACCUUUUGGUAUUCCCGUGAAGCAGGAAUUGAUCGUAAUCAUACCAAUUUGACAAGCAGUAACACGGAAUUGACGCUGCAUUUCCCCCGAAUGGAGGCGGACGAGCUACGCAAGGUCUUCGAGAUGUUUGAUCACAACGGGGACGGGCGGAUCACGAAGCAGGAGCUGAAUGAGUCGCUUGAGAAGAUGGGAAUUUUCAUUCCGGACCAGGAGCUGACGCAGAUGAUUGAGAAGAUCGAUGUGAACAACGACGGGUGUGUCGACAUUGACGAGUUUGGAGAUUUGUACCAGAACAUCAUGAACACGCGCGAGGAGGAGGAGGAUAUGAAGGAGGCGUUCAGCGUGUUUGAUCAGAAUGGGGACGGGUUCAUCACGGUGGAUGAGUUGAAGUCCGUGUUGGCGUCGUUGGGAUUGAAGCAGGGGAGAACGGAAGAGGAUUGUAAGACGAUGAUAAUGAAGGUGGAUGUGGAUGGAGAUGGUAGAGUUAAUUUUAAUGAGUUUAAGGCCAUGAUGAGAGGGGGUGGAUUUGCUGCAUUGAAUUGAUUCGUUAUCAAGGCUUGUUUAGUGUUGGUCUCUCCAUUUCAUUUGUUGUUUGGUUGUUUUGUUUAACUCUGGUUGAGUUGAUUGUAUAUAUUAAUUUCAUGAUCAAAUUAAUCAAAUAGAUUGGUAAUUUCCUCUUUCAUUCUCUUUUUUCUUCGAUUCUUCGCUAAAUGUCUGGAUGAUUUUAGUAAUGUUUUAGUCUUAUGGGUGGAUUAUCAAUGUGGGGCUGAGAGAGAAGGGGGUAGGGAUUUUCUUUGAGUACUCAAAUUAGCUCAGGACAAUGUGUUUAGUAAAUUUCAAAUCAGGAAGUAUAAACAUAAAUGAGCCGAGUUGAGCCCACUAGAGUAGUUGUUAAUAUGAAUAAGAGAAUCUAUCGACUCGACAGUGCUACAUUGGUCCAUUUAGUGGAUCCUCCCCCAAAACAAGAUCAUAUUGAACAACCCUGAGGAAGAUAGCAUUGGGACAUGCUAUUACUAUGUAUGGCUCUAACCCGGCUAGGAUUAAUUAAAAGUUUCGAAACUAUUAACUCUACUCGAGCUAUGCCAUCUCUUGUUUUUGGAUUGCUGCCCCUCUUCCAUCGGUUAGAGAUGGGGGGUUUCUGUUUAGUUUGGUUAUUUACUUUUUCUGUGAGUAAUAGGGGUAAAAGAGUUUUCAGAGAUGUGGGAAGCAGUGAAAUGAGCUCUUCACUGCUCUCUUCUACUAGUUUAUGGCCACGACAUUGCCUCUUUUUUUUUGUUGAAUGAGAAAAGGUGUAAGAGAGUCCCUCGAAAAGAAAUCUUUUACUCUAUCCCGCUCCUUAACGAAUUGUUCAAGCUUUCAUGCAAAAAAAAAAGGAGAAAGAUGAAGUGCGGUCUAUAGUGUACACAGUGUUGUAAAAAGCGGGAAUCGGACUUAGUCGGUGAGGGCACCGUCCAGCGAUUAAUCGGAUAAUCGGAGAUUAAUCGGAGUGAUUAAUCGGAUCAUUAAUCGUAAUCAAUUUAAUAUUAUUUUUAAAUUAUAUAUAUAUAUUUAUAAAAUUAUAUAUAGUAUAGAUUUAUAAUUAUAUAAAAUCAAAAGAGUAAUGAUUUUUUAUAACCCAAAACAUGCCUUUAUAUACAUAUACAAGCCUAGUCAUCUCAUAUAUUUGAUUCAAUCUGCUAAGGAAUAUAUAUUGCAAAUUUAAGUAAUUAGAGUUUGGAAGUUAAUAUUAAAAGAGUGAAACGUAAUAAAAACAAAUUUAAUUUAUGUGUUUUGUCUUUCUGUGCCUUUUAUUUUAUUUAAAUUUAAAAUUUUAAAAUUUUUUCACUUUUUUUAAAUUCACCGAUUUUUGACCGAUUUUUUCCGAUUAAUCCCGAUUUUCAGAAAAAACGAUUUUUUCACCGAUUAACGCUUAAUCGAGACGGUGGCCGACCGAACAGCGAUUAAUCGGCGAUUAAUCCCGAUUAAUCGCCGACUUUUAGAACACUGAGUGUACAUGUAACGCACAGUCCUUAAUUACGGCUUUUGUUAUAUGUAUUUUUUUGAAUUCUUUAUUUUAAAAAAUAAAUACCCUCUUCCUUAUUUUAAUAUGAACUAGCACUGUAGCCCGUGCGAGGCACGGGCAUGUUCUCAUAUGCGUGAUGAAUAUUGUUAUUCUUGUUAUCGUUCGACGAUAACAAGAAUAAAGGAGAUUAAAUUUAGAUCCUUGUUAUUGUAGUGCAGUAUAAACAUGUCUUUUAUUAUUUAGCUUGCAAUAACUGUUAAUUUGAGUUAGAUAUAGUUGUCCUUAAAACAAUGUAAGCAAAGUGUCACAAUGAUAUUUUGUACCAAUGAGGUUUAACAUUGAUAUUCAACUGAUUGUGGCGUAUCUUCCUCAAUCACCUUCGAUAAUAAAGCAUUUUGUGAGUAGUUAAGUCCCGUUCUUACUUAAUAUUCAUAUUUUUAUCAAUUUUUUUAAAAAAAAUUGAUUAUUUCGAUCAAUAAUUCACCCAAAAAUUUAAUUAAACUUAUAAUAUAUUGUUUCACUGUUAGUGGAAUAUCACACUAAUACUCCUCGACACAUAGAGUAUCACCUUGAUAGGUAACUGGUUAUGACAUGUCAUCAUGAUAAUUUUCUUAUAGUAAAAUUUUUGUAGAUAUUUAAGAUUCCCCUUAGUAAAGUAUCACUUUUAUAUUCAACUGGUUGUGGCGUAUCAUCCUGAUACUCCUCCGAUAUUAGAGUAUUUUGUGGGUAGUUAAGUCCCCUUCUAAUUGAAUAUUUAUAUUUUGAUUAAAUAUAGUUGAAAAUUGAUUAUUUUGGCCGGAAAAUUGCUCAAAAAUUUAAUUAAGUCUAUAAAUAUGUCGCUCCACUCAUGGUUGGAAAUAUACUGAUACUGCUCUAUCCGUGGGGUAUCACCCUGAUACUCAACUGGUUAUGAUAUAUCAUCAUGUUAAGCCUCUUACAGUCAAAACUUUUGCCGGUAUUUAGAGCCUUCCUUACUGAAUAUACUUAUUUUGGUUAAAUAUUGUUGAGGGCAUGCCGGGUUUUUAGGGCCCUAUCUUACUGAAUAUUCAUAUUUUAGUCAAAUAUUGUUGAAAAUUAAUUGGGUAUUUUGGAUGAGCAUUCACCCAAGAAUUUAAUUAAGUUUUUAUAAAGAUAUAAGCCGCUUCGGUCCGAGUGGAAUAUCACACUGAUACUACUCUACCAUUGGAGUAUCACCCUGAUACUCAAUUAAUUGGACGUAUCACCAUGAUAAUACUCUUACAGUCAAAUAUUUUAUAAAUAUUUAGGAACUUCUUUAUUAAAUAUUCAUAUUUUGGUUAAAUAUUAUUGAGACAUGGUCACACGGGAAUGUUCUCAUACGCGUAGGUGAAUGUUGUUAUUCUCGUCGUUGUCCAAGCGUUAGGUUUGUAUUGUUGUUAUUAUAGGGCGGUGCACUAACCAUCAAUAAGAAUUGAAAAUAGCUCUCCUUAUAAUGAUGUGAGUAAUGUAUCAUACUGAUAUUCCUUUAUAAGUGGAGUAUCACAUUGACGUUUAACUGGUUGUCAUGUAUUAUCAUGACAAUACUCCGACAAUGAUAUAUCUUGUAGGUAUGGAGGGACAUUCUUACUAAAUAUUCAUAUCUAGGUAAAAUAUUGUUGAAAAUUAGAUAUUUUGACCGGGCACGAGCAUGUCGGGUAGUUAGGGCCCCAUCUUAUGGAAUAAUCAUAUUUUGGUCAUAUAUUGUUGAAAUUUGGGUAUUUUGGUCGAGCAUUCACCCAAGAAUUUAAUUAAACUUUUAUAAAUAUAUAUUGCUCCACUCCUAAUGAAAUAUCACAUGAUACUCAAUUAAUUGUGACGUAUCCUCAUAAUAAUCUUUUUACAGUAAAAUAAUUUGUGGUAUUUGGCCCACUUCAUUGAAUAUUCAUAUUUUGAUUAAUUAUUACACACGUGCAUGCUCUCAUACGCGUGAAAGAAUAUUACUAUUUUUCUCACCGUCUGACAAUAUUGCAAAUGGUAAAGACUCUCUCCAUGUUGUUAUAGUCCGAUGCAAACAUGUCUUUUAUUAUUUGAGCGUUACAAUAACCAUUAAUGUGAAUUAGAAAUAACUCACAAUGCGAGCAAAUUAUCACAAUGAUUUACACCUACUGGUGGAGCUCCACCUUGAUAUUCAACUGGUUGUGAAAUUUUGAUACUCCUCUAACAUUGAAGUAUCUUGUUGAUAUUUAGGACCUUUUAUACUGAAUAUUCAUAUUUUGGUCAGAUAUUGCUGAAAAUUGGAUAAUUUAGAUAAGCAUUCAUCCAAAAACUUAAUCAAGGUAUUUUUGUUAAAAAUUAUGCGAAAUUAGAUUAAUUUUUUUUACUAUAAAUAAGUUAGGGUUAUACAUGCUUUGAUGAUGUAAUUAAUUACCUACACAUUAAUAAUUAACAUAUUAUUUACAAUUUAAUUAUGAAUAAGUUAAUAUGUGAGAUAUAAUCAUACAUAUUAAUUACAAAUAUUAAUUUUAUGUAUUAAUAAAGCAUGUAAAAACAUUAAUUACUGUACUUAUUAAAGUUUUAGAUAUAAUUAUGCGUAAUAAUUGCAAGCUAUUAAUUAUAUGUAUUAAUGGAAGAGGUAUUAAGCAAGUUAUUAAUUAUGUGUAUUAAUGAAAGAGAGGGUUAAAGGAGUAAUUUACAUGGUGAAUAAAAUGUGGCAUGUUGGUCUAUUAUAUAUAUAAUAGAUUAUGUGAUUAUCACCCCAGUAUAUGUAUCAAUUUCAUAGGGCUUGUUGUGUUUGAAAUAUAUGAUUAUGUUCAUAUGUAAUUAUUUUGUUUUUGUGAUUAAAAGAUGAUGAUGCUAAUAUUCACUAAGUUUCAUGGGGGAAGGUUGUAUUGGUUCCCACAACUGAAUAUGUUGGGGGCAUUGUUACUGUCUAUCAUUUUCGAGAUCACCACGAGGAAGUUAAUAUGGAGAGUCUGAGAGAAUGGAGUAAAGGUCUUAGUUACGGGAGAUUGUGGUGUCUAUAUUAUAAGAUUCCUCCGAGAGAGAUGGAUGGAGGGUUGGCUUUAUAAAAAAUUAAGACAAGUAUAACAGAUAUGCAUGUCGUCUUUUGCUAUGGAAAAUGAUAACAAAAUAGAUGUUUAUGUGCAACAUUCUAAUCAGGAUUUUGAAGCAAACUUUGAAGGGGUGAGUGAUGUAAGUGAGGCAGAGAUUUGAAUAUGAAUGAAUUAGAGGAGGAUUUUAAUUUUGUUGACUCAGAACUCCAUAAUAGGCGAUGACAUGCUUUUUGCUGACAAUGUGUGGAUGUCUGGAUGAUGAAAUAGAAUGGUUUGGUGCAUUGGGGGCAGGACUUGGACUAGCCGAAGUAGCCAUGUAGCAAGAGAACGAGAAUGAGAGUGAGUAUGACAGUGAUGAUCUUUGAAACUUGGUGACCGACAAUGAUAUAGAGGAGAGAGUUGUUGGUGAGGAGAGUGAAAAAGAAAUAAUAAAUUUUUAUUAAUUAGUUACAUAUAUUGUGAUAUAUUCAGAUAUUAUAAUACAAAAUUUAAUAUUUAAAAUAAAAUAAUAGUAUAUUCUGUAAUUUUUAAUUUUAAUAACAAAACACAAUGUAGCACAACAUUUUAUUUGCUUUGUUUCUAAAGUUUUUUUUUCCAACUCUCAGUUACAAUAAUUUUAAGACAAAUAUAAAUUUCAAUUUAUUACAUUACUGUAUAUCUUUUAAAUUACAAUUAAUCACCAGCAUCGCAUCCUCUGAAAAAAAAAAAAAAAAGGAACACUAGCAUAUGUUGAAACAAACGUUGAUGAAAGUUAUUCACCAUAAACCAAAGAACCCUUGAUUGAUAAAUAAUUACCCAAAAUCCACCUUCCUUCCCAACUCUCUAAAAAGAAAUUUUUAUGUGUUUGGGAGAUUGGAGACUGCAUGCAUACAGAUAUCGAUCAAGCUACAAAAGUUAGAUGGUUUGCUACCUAAUUCUUUAAAUUUAUGGUCCGACUGUUUUUUUAAUAUAUCAAUCCCAGAACGUUUCAUCUGUAUGUUUGCAUGUUUUUUUAAAUAAAUUAUAGGUUUUUUUUAUAUUCGGAGAUCACUGAUUAUAGAUACUCAACAUUGGCUAUAGAUUUGUUUUUGUGCUCUGAAAUAAGGUUUUGAAGACAGUUGAAUUUUUGUGAUGCAUAAUUAUUAUAGGCAUGAUGAAAAAGAUAGAAUGUUAUGACAUAUGUUGUGGGGAGGAAAAAUUUAAUAAGAUAGGUGUUUGAUGGGUAAUACGUGCGCUGGACCCACAGGGGCCCCAUCUGGAUUCUUUCAAACUGUUACAGCUGCAGUUUGGAAACCUAGGCUUCCUCCUCCUGACAGUACUGCUGAUAAUGACAAGGAUAAAAGUAAUUCUUCUAAAUCAAUUGACGAAUCCGAGGCUUCUAAGACUCAGCAAAAACCGCCACCACAAGUUAAAAUAGCCGAGAAUGAGGCUAAACAGGUUAGUGAUGAUAAGACGACUAAGCCCGACAAUGAUGCUGCCAAACAGAUAAAGCGUGUGGCCAGUGCUGGACUUCAGGUGGCAUCGGUUUUACAGACAAAAUCUGGGAAUUUGAAGGAUUUUUAUAGUCUUGGGAAAAAACUUGGACAAGGUCAAUUUGGUACGACGCAUCUUUGUACAGAGAAAAAGAGUGGGAAGGAGUUUGCGUGUAAGUCUAUUGCGAAGAGGAAGUUGGUUUCCAAAGAGGAUGUGGAAGAUGUGAGGAGGGAGAUUCAGAUAAUGCACCAUUUGGCGGGACAUCCGAAUGUCAUAUCUAUUGUAGCUGCGCAUGAAGAUGCUGUUGCAGUUUAUGUUGUUAUGGAGUUGUGUACAGGUGGAGAGCUUUUUGAUAGAAUUAUACAGAGAGGGCAUUAUUCAGAGCGAAAGGCUGCUGAACUUGCUAGAGUAAUUGUAAAUGUUGUAGAAGCUUGUCAUUCAUUGGGUGUCCUGCAUCGAGAUUUGAAACCUGAAAAUUUUCUUUUCGUCAAUGAGGAAGAGGAGGCUCCACUUAAGACAAUUGACUUCGGGCUUUCAGUUUUCUUUAAGCCAGGUAUUCUUUUCUACGUGAUUUUUAAUUAUAUUGUCCAUAUCAUAUAUAAAGACUAAAGUGGAAAACCAGAUUAAGAAGAAUGAAUUAUUUUGCUCACAGUGGAUGGUUAUGUAGAACAUGUUUGUACCUUUUUGUUGUGGAUACAGGAAUAGAUAAUUCGCAUAACCAUUUAUAAGCCUAAUAAGGUAGAGAAUGGAGACCGAGGUUUUUAGGUGAAUGACCCAGUGGAAUUACCAUAAGUAAAUAAUAUGGUACCGGAUGCGGAUCCAACUAGUCAGGACUACAAGGUAGUAACUUUAAGAUACAGAGACUUAAAAUCUUAAAUAUACCAAUCUGAUACAGAGAUUGAUGAUAAGUAAGAAAGAUCUAGUCUUAACAACAAGUACUUUAAUCUGCAUCCUCAAAGUUAGCGCAGUAAGGUAGUUGUAACAAGAUUUGGCACUUCAUUACUAAUUUAACUUAGUGCACCUUGCCUCUACUAACAGUAUCCUUUCAAUUUCUAUAUUGUUGCUCAUGUAAAAGUUUCAAUCGAACAAAAUUCUUAUGGAUGAACUUACAGUCAUGAUCCUUUUGCUUUUCAUACCAACAAAACUUGAAAAAAUUCAGUCCAACAAAACUUGAAAAAAUUCAGUCAAACCUGCUUCAUGUGCUCUGAUACUAGAGAUUGCUACAGUACAACAUUCUAAGAGCAGUUUCAAUUAAUAUUUUACCAUUCAGGUGAAAUGUUUACGGACGUGGUUGGGAGCCCAUAUUAUGUUGCCCCAGAGGUGUUGCGGAAGUUUUAUGGUCAACCAUGUGACAUAUGGAGUGCGGGAGUUAUCAUAUACAUAUUACUUAGUGGGGUCCCCCCAUUUUGGGAUGGUAAGAUCUUGGUUUCUUUUCAAAAAUUUUCUUGUGAUAUGCAUUAAUUUAUUUUAACAUGAAUAUCUGGCAUUCUGGAACCAGAGACGGAGCAAGGAAUUUUUGAGCAGGUUUUGAAAGGAGAACUUGACUUCGUAUCAGAACCAUGGCCUAGUAUAUCAGAGGGUGCAAAAGAUUUGGUCCGAAAAAUGCUUGUAAGAGAUCCUAGCAAGCGUCUAACUGCUCAUGAAGUUCUAUGUAAGUAUAUGUAAAUCUGCUAUUUCAUAUUAGAGUCACUUUGUAGACUGACUACCAAAUAAUGAGUUUUAAUUAAAUGUUAUUCUCCAGCGGAAUUCCAACAGAAAAUAUUAAUACAUGUGUAUCUCUUAACUAACUAAUAUAAUCGCGAAGGCUCUGGCCUCUGUGUAUAUAAUAUAUAGUUACCUGGACUUUUUGAAUAAAAUACUAUUGUUGAAUCAGUUUGAGCUUCUCUAUCAGGGCUAGAAAAUUUAAGAGAAUAUGUUUGCGCUUUAAGCUUAACGGAAGGGCGCUAAAUCUUUUCUUAAUAAUAUCCGAGCGUAAUCCACUACACAUCUUCAAACUCAAAAGAAACUACGUGCAUGUUCUCUAUAAUUAAGUUACAAAUUAGAUAUCACAUGCACAAAUCCAGUAUUAUUUCAUCUAGCAAAACUAUUUUAGGUGUUGCAUUAUACUAUAUUAGUUAAUUAAUAUGGAACUUGGCAAUGUUUACUUCUUGUCGUAUAACAUCUGAUUCCAUUGAUAUCAUGCCAAAAUGAUUAUUUACUCCCAGGCCACCCAUGGGUAAAGGUUGAUGGUUCGGCUCCAGAUAAACCUAUUGAUUCUGCUGUUUUGAGUCGUUUGAAGCGAUUUUCAGCAAUGCAUAAGCUCAAGAAGAUUGCCAUUAGAGUAUGUACAAACAAGCCCUUAAAGGCUUAUAUAUACAAUUUUUCAAAUUUGUGGCAUGUUGAAAUCAUUUCUCUGUCAGCACCCUUCUAUUGGCGUACAUCUCUUUCUUAAUGCAUAAUAACUGCUAAGAAAUCUUGUAUACUAGUGCGCAUCUGACUCUUUGGCCUAAAUAAAGACCUUUAAAUUUUAAUGCAUACAUUGUUACAGGAUUGAGUCGUUUCUUGUAUUAAAUUAUCUUGUAAAUGGACUGUAAUUAAUGUUACCAAUGAAAUUGCUCAGUUUGUGAUAUGAUCCUCUAGAGAAGUACGUUACCGGUCAUAACAUUCUGUUACCAAUUUAUGGUUUUCCAUCUCUACAUCUUUGUCCCAUUUUAUAUUAAAACUUUUCUAGAAAAAGGAACCUGAUUCGCGUAUUAAGUAUAGUUGUCCAAAAUCCUCAUCCAGCUAUUCUAUUUAAACUUACCAGUGAUUAUUUUUUUUGCAGAUAAUUGCAGAGAGUUUGUCUGAGGAGGAAAUUGCAGGAUUGAAAGAGAUGUUUAAGAUGAUCGACACGGACAAUAGUGGAAAUAUUACACUUGAAGAGCUGCAAAAAGGUUUAGAAAAAGUCGGAGCCAAUCUUAUGGAGUCAGAAAUUAAUGACUUGUUGCAAUCUGUAAGUGCAUACUAUUUUUUCAUUUAAUAGAUUAAUAUCAUACACAUCAUGAAAAAUUAGCUUGCAUCAGACAUGGAGUCUAGUAAUUGUAUACAUCUAAGAAGUUGGUCAGAAAAGCAGAUACUAAGAAUUAAUUAGUGGUUAAAGGACAUAUUAGAAUCUUAGUGCUUGGUGCCUUUUCUUUUCAUGUACAGAGGCGGAGCAGAGGGCCCUCAAAAAAAGGGCCCGCAAAUUUGUAACUCUGUGUAUAUAUAUGUAUUGAACAAAAAAAAUUAGUUACUUACUAUAAAAUUAUUAUAAAGUUUUUUCAAAUGUUGGUUGAAUACUGAGUUUUAACUAUAUUAAUGAGUUAAAUUUUAGUUGUUAACAUACAUUGCAAAAAGCACAUCGUUGACUUUCUAUGUAAGAAGAGUAAUUCUGAAAUUUUGAAGUAUAUUUCUUGUUUAUAACAUGUUUUGAUAAUUUAUCUUAUUUUAAAUGAAAUAUUUAAUUUUAUUGAAAUAAAAAUUAAGGGUCCAAUUUUGAGAUUUCGCACAGGGCCACGAAUUGGUUUUCCCCGCCCUUGUUCAUGCAAUAGUUACAUUGAACGCUUAGGAAAGUUCUUUCACACUAUUAAUUUUCUGUUAAUGCUCUAAAAAUUAGUUAAGAGAUAUUUGGCCUGGUAACUGAAAAUGUUUAUCUGUAAAUUAAUUUGAAUCAAAAUAAGUCUAAGGCUUAAAUUUUCCAUUGCGGUCAUUACUGAGCUAGGGUAAGCAGAGACGGAUCCAGGGGUCCAACGGGGUCCACAGACCCCCCCUGGAUUUCAAUAUGUAUUUAGUAUUGUUAGAGCAUCUCCAACGGCGUUGGCUAUAAUGGUUGGCUAAAUUGAACCUGUAAGAGAUUAUGUAAAAUUUGCUUAACCUGUAAGAAAUUUUGCUUCGAUGGUAUUGACUAUAUUGGUUGGCUAUAAUUUAAAAAUAGUAUGUCAUUAAUAUUUUGGAAGUUAUAAAUAGAAUAUAUAACUUUAAUAUGGUAAUAAGUGAUGUGUAAUCCUACUACAGAUUUUCUUACAGACCUGUAGCGGAUCGACAAAUAUAGUAAUCCAUAGGAGGUUGGCUAUAAUUAUAGAUAACAGGUGGGGAUGGUUGGAGCUUGAAUUUUUGAAGCCAUUAGCUAUAACUUUAUUUUUGGUAUGACAACUAAGAUUUUAGCUAAGGGGUCUUCAAGGUUGGAGAUGCUCUUACUUUGGGUGGUUAAAGUUAUGUUUCUUAUUGUUCUCUUUGAACUCUUGCAUAUGCAACUUCUUCUCAGAAUAUUUCAUUCUUUAUCUUUAUGAAAGUUAAAAAUUCUCUUCUGUAGGCAUAUUGUUUCUCUGUUUUUUUUCAUUUUUGUCUUUUUAACCGGAGCAUUCAUGUCAUAUAAAUAAUUUUGGAUAUUUUACUACUAUCUUGAGCCCCCCUCGUUUUUUCUCCUGCAUCCAGGGGCAAGUACAUGAAGUAUGAUAGGAUAUUUACAUUUGAUGCAUGAAUAAGAUUAUUUUACACUGGCUGAAUCACUUCGUAUAAUUCUUUUAUGAUGUUUGGCCUGUCACCUGUGUUGCUCUCAAAAUUUGAUAUAUUUUGACAUACUCCCCUAUCUGAAUUUCAAUAUUGACAUUCCAAAUAAAAAUUAUAGGCGGAUCUUGACAACAGUGGCACCAUUGACUACACUGAAUUUGUAGCUGCAAUGCUCAAUCUAAACAAAGCGCAUAAGGAGGAUCACUUGUUAGCAGCAUUCUCAUAUUUCGACAAAGAUGGGAGUGGGUACAUUACUGCUGAUGAACUUCAACAGGCAUGUGAGAAGUUUGGCUUAGGAGGCGCUCAAUUAGAAGUAAUCAUGCAAGAAGUUGACAAGGACCAUGUACUUAUUCACCCUCCGAAAUCUUGAUUAUUCUCCCUAUCCUCCAAAAAUAAUAUCACUUUACCAAAGAUUGCUUCAUAUGGAAAUUUGCUUUUCAGGAUGGGCGUAUCGAUUACAAUGAAUUCGUGGACAUGAUGCAAGAUACUGGAAUUGACAAGGGAUUGCAAAAUGGCAAAGCAUCGGGUUAAGGGAUGCAUAUAAGGUCCGUCAUUCUUGAUUAUUGGAUUUACCAACCCACAUAAUAGGUGUACAGCUGCUGACAAUUAGUUUGUAACUCGAAACUUAAAAUGCAUAAUUUUCAGGCUUAUGUGAGAGUGAUCAGAAUUUUAGCCCCAUUAUAGUUUUCCACAGUAUUUUCUGCCAAUCUGUAAAUUUAAUUUCCCUGCCCAGCCUUACCCUUGGGAUUGUAGUCAUUUUAGCCCUUUUCAUUUCUUUCAGAUACUUCUGUAGUUCUGCUUCAGUUAUCUGUAAAUUCUGACUUCUUGGACAGUAUUAGCUGAUACACAUCUAACUGCUGCUUAUAGCUUUGAGUAUAUUAGCAACUUAAAUGUGUGAAGAAGAAUAUAAUACUGCACUAAAAAGGGGAGCAUAAGAUUGCAUAUUUGUGGUGAUUAUGUAACUAAUUUAUGCUUAUGAUUACCUCGUUGUGCAUUUGAUUACUAUCUAAUCUAGAUACCUUAUAAAGUGAAGAGUGCUUCGUUUACUAGAUCAUUUGCCAAAUUGGGAAGCCCAAUCUCCUCCCAAAUCCCAGCAUACCCGAACAAUACGCACAACCACACUGUAUCCUCUGUUUAAGUUAUCAUCUUAUUAUAUAGUAACUGCUAAUUCUUUGUAGGGAACAGUAUAUAUUUUUUACUUCAUCUGACUGGUUCUUGGUGGCACUCCACAGGCAUUUGUUUGAGGCACAGUGGUGCCAUGUAGUUGUGCAUACCAGAAUGACUUCUAUGUGUUUUAGCAUCCUCUUUUUCGUGUGUCAGCUAGUGGAUUUGGAUCUUGCCACUUUAGGCCCAUCUCUCAGGUCACUAAUUGUAUUCACUAGGGGGCUUAUAACUAAUGGCUUCCCAGUUAGUUUCUUACUGAAAUGCUUCUAAAUACGUAUUGGAGAGUUAGGAGUCUUAGCCUUAUACUUCUGUAGAACACUAUGAAUAGUGUUCAUCUAAUGUUUUGUUGGGGCUUAUAACAAAUGAACACUAUGAAUAGUGUUCAUCUGUAGUCUUGGUGGCACUCACAAAUGAAUUAUCUUAUUAAUGUUCAUCUAAUGAUAUGUGUUGGAUAGGUGAAACCUUGUGAAGCUAAUAAACCUAUACUGUAUGAAUUUAAAAGAAUCAUUGCCUUUCUAGUAGGCAACUGAAACUCUAUGGGAACUUGCCUGCUUUCCUCUAUCAGAAUUUAGCAAUAAUGUAAGUGCGUUCUGCACUUUUUCGCUAUGAUUACAAUGUGUUUAGCUACUCAGUAGCUUUUAGGAAUAUGCUGAUUGUGAGUGGAAUAUAUUUUUGAAUUAAAUUUGCAUUUGCACUCCUUGUGAUUCAAUUAUUCAAUGUGCUGACUAGUACUCGACACCUAAUUACUAGUUAGUUCAGGCAAGGAAUGGCCAUCUGAUGGAAUGGUAGUUGGGCAAUGCUUAUGUAAAUAUGAUACUACGACAGGCUUGGCAGCUACUUAUUUUUCAUUUGCGGAUCUGGAUUCUAUUAUAUCAUUGGAGGGCUGAAUACCUCUGUAUAUUGAUUGGAAAGUGUUUUCCCGUCUUGUCUUGGUCAAACGUUUAGGCGUCCUAUUAAUUGUAAUGCUAUAUCUGUCUCAAGAUAAUUUUAAAGUUAUUAACUGAAUGAUGUAGUUUUAGUAAACUGUAGUCGUGUAAGCCUCCCAAGCAUGUGCGUACAGGGUUCCUAAUCUUAUAGAAAUAUGCGGGAAAUGAGUAAUUCUACAGUAGCAUGGUAUGGUGGCCUUAAAGACGCUUAGCAAUGGCAGACUCCAGAUCCUAUAGAACAGAACAUUUCUGUGGACUUAGCAGGACAACUAACCAAAGGAUCCCAGUCUGUAUAGAAAGCAAAAGGGAAUUAGGUCGAGGUAACAGCGUAGAGAUCAGACAAAAUAUGAAGUUCCAUCGGCUAAAUAUUUGCGGUAUAGGCUGCCUAUGUGCUGGUGUAAUUCUGCAGACUUCUGCAGUGCUUAUAACAUGCAUUGUUAUAAGCACAUUUGAACAUACACAUUGAUUGACUGUUGUCUAAAACUUUUGGUAUAUAAUUUCAUGCAAAAAGUGGAUAUAUCCACAAGAUGCCUUUAUGUGCAUUGAUGAAUGAAGUUGCUUUUAAAUUCAUUUUCAUUUGUGUGAACAGUCGGCAGGGCUUAAUCCACAUGAUAUGGAACCUAACCUUGACCUAACACCAUACAUGACAGAACAUUUCAUAUCUUCGUCAACUUGACUUGCACGGCUCAAAAUUUGGUGUCCAUAUGCCGUUUUCGCGCAGUUUUUGUUUUUUUAUAAUUUUUUUACUCAGGCGCAGUUUUUGUUGUUAAAUUUAAAAGAAGUGUAUACAAGUGAGUUGAUUUUUUUUAGUCGGGUAUGGAUUGCGGUCAUCCUGCAAGUCCUGGAUACCGAAAAUUUCCGCAAGAAACUGCUUACCUCCUUUUGAUGAAACAUGAAAAGGGAUCGAACAGUUGCAAGUGAUUCUAACCUCUACUUUAUGUGUCAAGUGGAGUCUGGGGUGCUACAUGACAAUAUCUUACUUUUUAGUUGGAUGUUUCGUCUUGAAAAAUGGGAGACAAAUCUGAGAAAGGGAUGUCCUCUGGGGCACGACGCUGUGUGAUAAAGCCAUUGAGGUUUUCUCCGCUUUGUCAUUUUCAUUACACCACGCUCUUUUUACUUUCUGGUCAUCUUUAUCUCAUCAUCUCAGAUGAUAUUUACUACUCAACACUCGUGAACUAAGUAUCCGACUUGGAGUAGAACACCACACUAACGUACGUGAUAACUGGUCUGCGAGAGUGCUAGAACAGCAACCAAGGAAAAAUGUUACAUACUAAAAAAAAUUGAAAAAACAUUAUGGAACUGUAUUUUAUAGGAUCCUCGAAAUCGUGCAAAUAGUGAACGUAUGAGUAGGUAAUUAUGAGAUCAAUGGGAAACGUAUUCAAGAAAAUGUCAAUCACUGCAGCACUCUGCAGUAGCUUGGCCCCUAUAAACUCAGAAAAUUUAGGCGAUUCCCUGCAACUUGGGUAACUAGGGUUUUUGUCCAUUCCUCUUCCUGUAGGCCGGCAAUGCAAAGACAAGACAGUUUAAUUAAGCGAGAAUCGAACACGGAACUGAGGACGACAAAUGACAAACCCUUAACACUUGAGCUAUCUGAUCGCUAGGUCAUUAAACUUUUAAUAACAUUACGACAUAGUAUUCAACUGUUCAAAAGGUAUAUACUUGUCAAACUUUCAACAUUGAAUUGAAUACAUAUAUAAUAAUACGAUCUCUCGAGGGGUCUUUUGGUAACUUAGUGGUAACUUUGAAGCUGAGUGAGCUGAUUUGUUUAUAAGUACACAAGUGCCUUGGAUCUUUAGCUUUGAAAGAUUAGAUCAAGUGCUCCCCUUUCACUCUCUUGAUCAUCCUUUACUUAAAAAAAUGUAUGGUGAAUUCAUUUCAGGCUGAAAAGCGCGAUUUCUUUAAAUCUUACUUUUGUUUUUCUCCAGAAAAUAAUCGAAAAUCAAAAUCAGAGGCAAGAAAUAUUCCAUAUUCUAGGUGAGGGAGUUAUGAAAGUGCAAAGUAUCAUGUGAUUUACUUCACAAAGUAAUUUACAUGCACCUAACAGUACGUGUAGGAAGUAUAUAUCACAUGCAGUCUCAACAAGAAACCAGAUUGAUCUAUUUACGCUCUUAUCAACUUCAUUAUUUGUGAAAUUUAUACUUAGUAAAACAGAAUUAUUACCUAGAAAUGGAGAACAAGGGGUCAUCCUCCGGACUAAUGAGGGCACAGUCGGAGCAACUAGUGGAGCCGAUAUCAGCUACAAUGAAGUCACCGCGGGUGUCAAGUGACUGGGGGGCCGCUGAAAUGGAGGGCAGCUCAAGAAAGUCUAUGAGCAGAGGAGGAAUUAGUGCAUCACCUGGAGGUGGUGGUAGUAGCAGCAGCAGGCACAUAAGGCAAACAAGGUCUGCUCAAAUGAAAUUUGAUGUCGAUGAAUUAAACAGCGGUGCUACUCUGAGCAGAGCUUCAAGUGCUAGCAUGGGAUUUUCGUUCACUGCCUUCACUGUUCGUCCUAGUGACAUUGCUGAUUCAAGGCCCUUUAGUGACGACGAUGAUGAUGACAUUCGUGAGUGUAUUUACUUCCUUGAAUCAAAUUUUUGCUUCAAGAUUAUCUACAGUUACUGACAAAUAUCAGACAUGUUAUUGCAGCAGAAGAUAUUGAGGUUGGUACGCUAAAGAAGAAGAUUCAAACAGAGACAACCUUGCCAAUUUACCUCAAGGUAAUUAAUUUUUUCAUCAAGGCGUGCUAUUUUCAUUUUGUUUCCUGCUAAAUAUAGAGAAAUAUAAGUCGCGGAGUCAACAGAUUACUAGAGCAUAUAUGGAUUGAUUUAGUUUGCUACUAUCUAUUUCAACAGGCAAGCAUGGAGGUGUUUAUUUAGCUAGAAAUCAUGGAGACCCAUUGAACAUGGAGUAUAUUGAGUCUCAUGAUCUUACAUGUAUGGAACAACUAGUGUAGAUUUUCCUCAUAUUUCUACAAUGCUUCAAAAAUUUGUGUCAUAACAUCAAUAGAAAGGACUAUUUGUUCAGUUACACAUACUAUAGAAUAAUACGACAGACAUAUAAGCUCAACAAUCCGUAGUUUCCUAAAGACUGAGUACGGUCUCAUUAUUCAUUCACGGACAUAAUUGGUAGUUCAUAUGCAAGUACAAGUUAACGACAAUGCAAGAGUAGAUAGGUUACUUGAUGUUUAACUCUUUAAGAUCACGUAUUGAGUCGAAGAUGUAGGCAUUAAUAUGAUUCUUGUCUAUACUUAUGCAGUUCAAGGAAGUGACCUACAAGGUAAUCAUUAAAGGAGUGGCAUUCUCAACAGAGAAAAAUAUAUUACAUGGAAUAAGUGGUUCGGUGAAUCCAGGAGAAGUUCUGGCACUUAUGGGACCAUCAGGAAGUGGGAAAACUACACUCUUGAGUGUUCUAGGAGGCAGGGCUGUCGAGACCAACCAAAGGGGUUCAAUUACUUACAAUGAUCAGCCAUAUACAAAAUUUCUAAAGAGCAGGUGAAUAUCACAGAUUCUUUAGUGAAUAAGCAAGAGAAACCUGAACUAACAAAAAAAUCAAAACUAAAUAAGACCAAGGAACUCAGAGUCAGAUAUGUUCUGAAGUACAAUUACAACAACACGAUGUCAUCCAUCACACUAGAGUAUUAAAAUCAGCAGUUUACCAGAUUUCUAGUAUGAAAUAAUAGUAUGACAUUCUUUAAUAGAUGUUUCCAUGUGUAAAUUCCUUAAAAACUUUAAAUUGGCAGUAACUGGACUUAGAUAUGUUUAAUGAACACCGAAUUGUACGUUAUCUGACAUGGAGCAUCCUGCAGAAUAGGAUUUGUGACACAAGAUGAUGUACUGUUUCCUCAUCUUACAGUGAAGGAAACAUUAACAUAUGCAGCUCUACUGCGUUUACCCAAGACACUAACAAAACAGGAGAAGGAGCAACGGGCAACAGAUGUUAUCUCUGAACUUGGAUUGGAGAGGUAAACCUCUUUCUUUGUAUUAAAAUUGUGUUAGACCAGCACACUUUUGAUAAAAUAAAUCAAUCAGGUAGGUGAUAGCUACUAAUUUAGUGUCGUAAUUUCCUAAACAAGUUAUGCUUAGAACAUAUCUUUAUCUGUAAAUCUCUUUAUGCAAGAAAAAUGUUGUGGACAGGUGUCAGGACAGCAUGAUAGGUGGCUCGUAUGUCAGGGGAAUUUCAGGCGGAGAGAGGAAGCGUGUCUGCAUAGGAAAUGAGAUAAUUAUCAACCCUUCCCUUUUGCUUCUUGAUGAACCCACCUCUGGAUUAGAUUCUACAACUGCUUUGAGAAUCAUUCAACUAUUACAAGAUAUAGCAGAGGUAAAUUUCAGUAAAUUCUCAAGCCUUUUUUGUUUGAAAGUGCGGAAAAUCUUGUGAAUAAUUAGAGCUAGUGUAUACUAAUGGCGGAAGUAAUUCUCAAAUAACAUGGCAGGCUGGGAAAACAGUGAUUACCACUAUUCACCAACCAUCUAGCAGGCUUUACCACAAGUUUGAUAAAUUGAUCCUUCUUGGCAAAGGGAGCAUGCUUUACUUCGGCAAGGCAUCAGAAGCCAUGAUAUAUUUCUCAUCCAUAGGAUGUUCUCCACUGAUUUCCAUGAAUCCUGCUGAAUUCCUGCUGGAUCUUGCAAACGGAAACUUGACUGAUGUUUCUGUCCCAGGUGAAUUAAAAGACAGAGUGCAACUAGGGAAUUCAGACAGAGAAAGCAAGAACAGGAAACCAUCUCCAGCAAUGGUGCAUGAGGUAAAUAAUUUUAAAUAAUACAAUUAAGAAUCGUAAGAUCUAUGACUCAUGGAUUUUAUUUAAUAAAUAACUUUAUGGCAUGAGUAGCUGACAGUUGCGAUUUGGAAGAAAGAACAAUAUUAAUUAAUGAAAAUAUAUUAUUUCUGGACAGUAUCUUGUGGAGGCCUACGAGAUGCGUGUAGCUGAAAAUGAGAAGAAGAAUCUUAUGUUUCCCGUACCCAUUGAUGAAGUAACUAAGUCAAAGGUUUAUUUUGAAAAGCCAAAAUGGGGGGCAAGCUGGAGGAAACAGUUUUGCAUAUUAUUCUGGAGAGGUCUCAAAGAACGACGGCAUGACUACUUUAGCUGGUUAAGACUUAGCCAGAUUGUUACAACUGCAAUUAUUGUGGGGUUGCUUUGGUGGCAAUCUAAUGGCCAUAAUGCAGAAAAACUGCACGAUCAGGUCGACAUUUCUGAUUAUUAGAUGAAAUUGUUCAUUAGACAUAUCUGUUACUAGCCUACAUAUGCAGCACCUUUUGGUGCAGUAUAUAACAACUAUAAGCAUCCUAAUUGACAAUUUCAUAGCAUUCCCUGCCUAUGCAAUAAUAUAUCUCAAUGUCCAGAUAAAAAACUAGGAUGUGACCUAAGAAUUUUGCUUUCAGGCAGGUUUAUUGUUCUUCAUUGCUGUCUUCUGGGGAUAUUUUCCAGUUUUCACAGCAAUAUUCACAUUUCCGCAGGAAAGAGCUAUGCUGAAUAAAGAACGAGCAGCUGACAUGUACAGACUAAGUGCAUAUUUUGUGGCUAGAACUACAAGCGACCUGCCACUUGACCUUCUACUGCCAUUACUUUUCCUAAGCAUAGUCUAUUUCAUGGCAGGCUUGAAACAUAGUGUCAAAGCAUUUUUCCUUACCAUGCUUAUAGUCUUUCUCUGCAUUGUUGCAGCACAGGUACAGCCUCCCCCCCACCCCUUCCCUUAUUAGCCUCAUCUACCCAAAGAAAUAUUCUGAAACGGGAACGAUCUCUGCUAUGCUUACUACAUCUAUAAUAUUGCAGGGGCUAGGAUUAGCGAUUGGUGCUGCACUGAUGGACUUGAAGAAGGCAACUACACUGGCCUCUGUCACAGUAAUGACCUUCAUGUUGGCUGGGGGAUACUUCGUUAAGGUAAGCAUACAAAUCAACUUUUAAAAUUAAGGUAUUUUACACAAGUUUCUUAAUUGGCAUACUCUGCAGAACUAAUUCAGAGAAUUAUACGUUUUCUUUGCAGAAUGUUCCAGUGUUCAUAUCAUGGCUCCGCCAUAUCUCAUUUAAUUAUCACACUUACAAACUCCUACUUAAAGUGCACUAUGAAGAUGUCAUUCAGCAGAUGGAUGGAAUGAAAAUAGACAGUGGAUUAACUAAUAUAUGUGCCUUGGUAGCCAUGGUUUUUGGCUACCGUCUCUUGGCGUACCUAUAUCUGCGAAGGAUGAAGCUCCUAUAAAAAAUGAUUAAUUACCACUCUAAUGGAUAAUGAUCAAUGAUGAGCAGCCCUGCAAAGACAUGAAGCCAGAAGCCAAACCUAGAGCAGUGAUUAUACACAAUGUACUAGUCUUCAUCAAGACUUCCAAUAAAACAGUAGUAUUGCACUAAGAGAUCUGAUUAGACAUAUUGUAACUCAGUGUUCAAAAAUCAUAGUCAAUGUGAGAUUUGUCUUGACAGAAUCAUAGUAGAAUGUGACAGAAUGUGAUUUAAACGUCCAAUUAUUAAGAAAUUGUCUUGAGCCAAUCUUACUUUAGGCGCUUAUCAUAUUUAAUGUCUGUUUUUCUUUCUCCUCUGUUCAUUUUCCAUAUUCGAAUGACUUGAGUUUCUUUUACACCGAGUCCUUUUUCUGAAAUCAAACUGUGAGCAAUCUCAUGAAAAGAAACAUUUGGUUGAUAAAAAAUAAACUUUUAAACUACAUUGAUGAUAAGAGAGGCACAGCAGAUGAGUACUAGAGUUUUAGCCCAAGCAUUUCCCUGUCUGACCUUUUGUGUUCAUUGUCUCAAACUAACUUCAAUUCUUCUCAAAAUGACGUACUUUUUUUAGCUCAUCCCAAAUUAACAUAGUUUUUAUAUUUUGGGAAUUUAUCACCUGUACCCUUUUUUAACAAAUUAAUUGCAUCUACACGGUGUCCUCACAAUUAUUGCAGAUCUACGUUUUCAUCGAAUAGAAUAUCAGAAGUUUGCACAUAAACGAUCUCUUAGGUUGUGUUCACUUCGUGGAAUGGAAUGAAGGGAGAAUGGAAUAAAAUUUGUAUUAUAAAUUGUGAGUGAUUAGUGAAAUUGUUUAUAAUUUUCAUUCCUUCAAUCAUUCCAUUCUAACUAUUUUAACUAAAAAUCUAGCCCACAUGUUUUGAAAGGAAUGUUGAUUCCAUUUGUUCAUGAUCUUUUCCUAUCAUCUUCUUCAUGAAAAAUUUUAACUCACUCAUAUUUAAUCAUUAUUGCCUCAUACUUUCUCCAAUCUCCAUAAAACUUGUUCAUAUAGUUUUAUUCCAUUUCAUGAAGUGAACACAACCUUAUUGUCUCUUAUCUCCUCUCGCUCUCUAGCCUCUCGCUCUCUCUUCUUGUUUUCUCCUUUUCUCUCUCAACAGUGUUACAACUCGUCCACCAGAUCAUCGUACUAAUUUCCCAUCUUUUGCUAAUUCUCGCUUGUUCCCUCCGUCGUCACUGGAGAAUCGAGAAUUUCCCUGACGGCAACCAUGGUGAGAUGAACUUUGCUCUGCGGACCGCGGUGCCGAUCAGUUUGCUGGUGGUACAAUUUAUAAAGUAUGUGCUGGAUUAUAGAUAAAAAUUGAUCGAAAACUUAGCUUGUCAUCAAAGUGAAAUUAGGUCCAUUGUUGUUUCCAAAUGUUAUGUAACUAAAUAUAAUUUUCAAAAGAUUUUUUAGAAGUUAGCAUUUUUGGUUGCACAUGUGAUUGCUCGCAGCUGUAGAUAUGGUUGCAUAUGCACCCACCGUAUUUUUGCAAAUAUUUUUGAAAUAUAGUAUUUUUACAAUUUGUUUCAAAAAGUGACAGUAUUUUUGCAAAAAAUCUUUUAGGCUUGGGUAUUCUGAAAAAUACAUUUUUUUAUACUUUUUUUUGGAUAGAAGCGUCAGAAGAAGUGCUUAAUAUUGUUUAUUUGGUAAAAAAUAAAGAUUUAUUUCAGAAAAAAAUAAAAUUUUGUAUAUUUUUUUGAGAAUAAAUCUUUUUUUUUAGAAAAAACUUAGCCACAUAUAUUUGGUCAUUAUAAUUCUUCUUGUAUCUAUGGAGAAAUACUGAAACUACAGUAAAACUAUCUGAAAAGUUUCGUGUGGACAACAGAACACUGUCAUCUACUAGAGUGCCACCUCUCUGCCUUAAUUUAAGUAUUUAUUUUGUUCGCAGCGAAUAUACCCUAGCAUGAAUUUACUAACAGAGAAUAUAAAAAAAGUGAUAUAAAAUAUUAUAAAAAGGAAAUAUUCUAAAAAAUAAAUGCGGUGCUUUACAAAAGAAGCGCCAAAGAAUAUGGAUCCAAUGCUCUGCUGGGUGUCACGAUAAUCAGUUAAUCACACUGCCUAAAAAAAUAUAUACAAUCUCCUCUGUACGUAUAUUAUUAUCUGCAACCAAAUUUCAAGGCCACAAGAUUUAAAUCAUACAUAUAUAUACAGAUUAUCCCAAUUUUUAGUUACUUCGAUUUUCCAUCUUUCAACCCUUUUCUUCUCUGGUGUGUACUCUCUCUCUCUCUCAAUUAAUAAUACAUAUCUUUGUGGUGCUGUGUAAUUUAGUGUACCCCUUUUGUUGAAUUUGAUGUGGGUUUUAUUGAUAAAGGUUUUCUUGAUUUAAUAAAGUUUUCAUUUUUAUGUUUUGUGGAUAAAUCACUGCAAUUGGCCUUUCUUUAGAACCCAGCUGUGCAAAUUGGAGAAGGGUUCUCUUUUUUAUGCAAUAUGAUUAUUGUUGAUAGUCGCUUUACUAAGAAAUAUUUGAUUUUGUGCAACUAGUGUUAGUAGAUGAGUAAAGUUGUGUGAUUUCGAAUGUGUUUUGCCAUGAUCUGGGGUUCAAAGAAUUGAAAAUACCCUUUGGAGUUGUUCUUUGCUAGAUGGCAAGUUAAACUUGAAUAGAAUUUACUAUUACCAGAUGUAGUUCAAGUUCCAGAGCAUAAACUAUCACUCAGUCGCGGUGCGGUAAUCUCUGUGUAGUUUCUGUUGAGUAGUGCAUUGUAGAUUCUACUGUAUUUUUUUAGUGAAGAUGUUGUUAGUGUUGAUUCUUGGCCUGAACUAUGACCAAAAAUCUGAUAUGAAAUGCCAUUCCCAUGUACGAUUGGGUUUAUGUAGAAUAAGUCCUCAUAUUGUCAUACAUAAUGCUUUUAAAUAAUCUGAUGGACAAUCUUUCGAGAGCCUUUCUAGUUCAUUUUGGGGGAUUAUUAUUUUUACUGUCUCUCUAGGUUUUUUUAAUCCCAUAGUAGUGGACUAAACAGUUUCUGAUAUCUAUUCUUGUACUGAUAAAAAUUCUACAUUUUACAGGUCAAGGUCAUUUAGGUAAUCAUGGAUAGGAUAAAGGGAUCUGCACGCCUUAUGAUAGUUUCUGAUCUUGAUCAUACAAUGGUGAGAAACAAAGGUUAACUUAUUAUAAUCUUUUGCUACUGCUGUGUCUUAUCGGGAAAGUUUCUUUGUAGGUUGAUCAUCAUGAUCCAGAAAAUCUAUCUUUGCUAAGGUUUAAUGCCCUAUGGGAAGCCAAGUAUCGUGAAGAUUGUUUACUAGUGUUCUCAACUGGAAGGUCGCUUACAUUGUACAAGGAGUUAAGGAAAGAGAAGCCUAUGCUAACACCUGAUGUUACUAUAAUGUCCGUCGGAACUGAGAUCACAUAUGGAAAUUCUAUGAUUCCAGAUGAUGGUUGGGUCGAAAUUUUGAACCAAAAGUGGGACAAGAAGAUCGUCUUAGAGGAAGCAAGCAAAUAUCCUGAACUUACUCUUCAGGUAUUAUAUGUGUACUCUUACAAUAUGAAAUUUUGGCAUUUAGGAUACUCGAUGCAUGGGAAGCGAGUUUUGAUUUAAUACUUAGACAGCAUUUACUCAAAUUUGAAAAGAUCUGAUAUGAUUGCCUACUUCAAGCAACUUGUUUUAUACAUCGAAUGUUAAUGCAAUUGUUUUAUUUGGGUCAUGCAGCCCGAAACUGAACAACGUCCACACAAGGUUAGCUUUUAUGUUCAGAAAGAUAAGGCACAAGAAGUUACAAAAGCUCUUUCUGAGAGUUUUAUAAAACAUGGGGUAAGAUUGACCUUUAGGCUGCAAUCUGGAUUAUUAUUGUUGUUUUGUGUCACUUCAUAGUAUUGUAGAUCUUAUUCUUUUUCUAAAUGAGAUGCUUCUUUCUUUUCCUUGCGAUUCUUCUUUGCUUUCUGUAGUUGGAUGUUAAAAUAAUUUACAGUGGAGGGAUAGAUUUGGAUAUACUGCCACAAGGUGCUGGAAAAGGACAGGCCCUUGCUUAUCUGCUGAAAAAGUUAAGGUCCAAAGGAAAACUUCCUAAAAAUACCCUUGCUUGUGGGGACUCUGGUAAUGAUGCUGAGCUUUUCAGUAUUCCUGAAAUAUAUGGAGUCAUGGUUAGUAGUUCUUCUACCUCAUCAUCUCUUCUUUCUGUUUGUGAGCUUCCUUGUAUGUUUAUGAAGGGAAUUCAUAAUUUUACAGGUCAGUAAUGCCCAGGAAGAAUUGUUGCAGUGGCAUGCUGCAAACGCUAAAGACAACCCAAAUAUAAUUCAUGCAACUGAGAGGUGUGCAGGGGGUAUUAUAGAAGCCAUUGGUCAUUUUAGUCUGGGACCAAAUAUAUCACCCAGAGAUGUCACUGAUCUGUCAGAUACCAGUUUAGAGAAGUUCGAUCCUGCAUAUGAAGUAGUAAAAUUUUACUUAUUUUUUGAGAGAUGGCGGCGUGCAGAGGCUGAGAAGUCUGAGAUCUAUUUGUCAAAUCUGAAAGGAGUUUGUGUAUGUAUUUUCUCUGUACUCUCACUUCUGUUCAUUUGACAAAAAUUAACAUACUAAUGCUACAUCUACACUUUGGAUAUUUGGAUGCCAAAUAUUAUUAAAGCUUAGGUGCUAUAGACAUUUUUCUAUACAAGUCUUAGUGGCAGGUAGCUUGCAUUUGGUUACUGCAUUCCUAGGUUUAUCUGAGGCCGUUUCAUAGCUUGCAUUUGGUUACUGCAUUCCUAGGUUUAUCUGAGGCCGUUUCAGUAAGAACUGACGUGUAAAUUUAGAACUACACUGAUACUUAAAUAUAAGAUGAACUGCUCAAAAUACUUGCGGUGAUAUAGCUGCAACUUCCAAUUGUUUUGUGUUUUGUUUGAUAUUCAGUGUGAUUCUUUCAUAUUUUUUUUUUAAUUAAGUCCAUAUGAAUCAAGAUGAGGAGAAGUAUAACUCUGCAUCAUAGUGAUUCUUCAUAAUAAUUUUUGUUUCUUGCUGGUGCUGCUGACACAGUGCUACUGUUUAGACUAGUUCUUUUAAUUUCCAGUGGUCGGUAUGUGGUCAAUCUGAUUAUUUAUCCGGGCAGGUUUUUCGUACUUUUUUUUUUUUUUUUGUACAAUUGCCACACUAGAAAAGUCAUAAUUUUGGGAUAUCUUUCAGUACUAGUAAUUCUGUAUGCUCAGUAGAACAUUGUACUAUUAAUAUUUUGGCCUUGGUCUGCUGUUAUGCAGUGGUUUCUAGUGUCAUGCUUUACGUGCAUCUCUGGUUAAAUUGUUUCAUGAUGCUUUAUUUUGCUCUGCAGGCUCCAUCCGGUUUUUAUGUCCACCCAUCUGGUUUUGAGAAACCUCUUCAUGAUUGUGUAGAUGCAUUGAGACAGUGUCACGGAGACAAACAAGGGAAGCAAUUUCGGGUUUGGGUGGAUCAAGUUUUCUCUACUCAGGUUAGCUCGCACAUAUGGAUUGUGAGAUUUAAGAAGUGGGAAAUAUCUGGUAAGCUUCCAUUUUUGCCUAUAGGUCCUUAUAUUCCUGUUGCCUGUUUCAUUUUGGUAUAUAAUCAGUAUUUUGGCUGACAUUUAUGAUUCAUUCAAAUUUAGCUGCAUUAUUAUCUUAAAUAUAUAUACUAUAUAAAUUUUGGAAAUAAUUUAGGCGAAAGCUGGUAGGUAUCAAAAACUAUAUCACCAGCAAUCUCAAGUUUGCAUCACCAUUUAUGCUGGUGAUAAUUUUCACCGGCUUUUUUCUAACACAUAGGCAAUGGGCAAAUGGUCACGUUAUAUAGGGACAGGUACAGAACAAUUUUUUAUCAAGUUCUUGAAUAGUAAGCUCUGCAGUGUAGGUAUAUAGAAUCAUGUCGGUGCUAAAACUCGAGUCAAUCUAACUUGAUUUAACUGUUGCUAAGCUUAAUGUGCAAACAGGAAUGGUUCCCAAGCACUUAAAUAUACAUAUAGUAAAAGGCACAAGCAUAGUUGCUUACUUUUGCAGUGAUACUGAAGUAUGAUAAACCAAUUUUGUUAUAAAUUGCAACAUUGUGAAAGAAUUCAGAAUGUAGGUGAACUCAGCAUGUCGCCUGCCCACAUAAAAAUUAGGAAUUCAACUUAAAGUAAAGAAGAUGAGAUGACAUAGGUAGUCCAAACUCAUUAAAACUUUCGGAUCAUCAUUUUUCACCAAUACAAAGGCUUUUGUAUUCUAUAUUUGCAUAUACGUAGGCAAUGUAUUGUGGAUCUUUUAUUCACCUUUCCAUAUUCAAGAUGAUUAGUCUGAUGUGAGGGCAUAUAGCUGUAGAAUCUGUGUGCAUCUAUCUGUUAAAAGUUGUGUUUGGUUGAGGGAGUAAUCGGUGCUUUUGUAAAUUGAGGGAUAUAUUGUGCACUACUGAAACAUGAGCCUCGGGGAUUGAUUUUGUACAAAUGUUCCCUUCCCUUUCUAUUCUCUAAAAUUCCCACACUGAACAAUCAUGAAAGAAAGAAAUGACACCAAAGCCAAAACCUUAAUAUUACAAUGAAGUACCCAAUGGGGAGAAAUGUUUUCAUUCUAUAUAAUAAGAUAUUAUUCAUUAUGUUGGAUAUUUCUAAUGACUCAAUCAACUUUUGUAGGUGGAGAGCAAUCUGGCUGCUUGACCACUGCAUUAUUAAGUUCAAAGGUAAAAUUCAAUUUCUCACAAAUCAAGAACAAAAUCUGAUCAAAAAAUCGUGUUUGAAAUAUCUUCUCGUUUGUCUCAGGAUGUGAGCGUCGCAGAAGGGCUCACUUGGCUCCAAGUGCAUCAGACAUGGUUGACCGGAGCCACUCCCGGCGAUCAGUCACUUUGGCGCUUCUAGCUACUGGCCAAGGCAAGACUUUGAAGAUCUUGUUAUACACAGUAUCUGUUUUUGCUUAAAUAAAUAUAUAAUAAUCAAAUUAGCUCCGCAAUUUUCUUGUCGUGAUGCAACAGGAGUUGCUAGUUGCAACUACAGUGUAUUAUAUAACAAGCAGAAAAAUAUUCUGGACGGUGGAUAUAACUUUUAUUCCCUGUUUGAAAUCAAGUGAAAGGAUAUUAUAUCGGCAUUUCUGCCUUUCAAUUACUUCAUGAGCCAAUGAGUGCAUUGCCAAAUUUAAUCUAUAAAUCUUAAUUUCCUCUUUAUCAUUGAAUCAAAAACCUAUUUUUCAAGUGCAUUAGGCAUACAAAGAAGCUGAAAUAUUAUUUCCGAACGUCUUUUUCCUUUUCUUUUUCCCGUUGUAGGGGGCUAGGGGCUACAAUGACUGCCGGAGCAUUGCCAAUUUCUUAAUUAGACGUACAAUUGUUUUUAAGCAAUAAAACAAGCAACCAGUGGAAAUAAAGGCGAGAUUUGCAAUAAAUAUACAGUCGAACCCUUGUAAAUUAAUACUCCCUCCGUCCCAUUUAAUUCUAUACGUUUCUUUUUAACUGCUCGACACGCAUUUCAAUACUCUUAUAAAAUAUAGUUCCGUAACUUAUUUUUGAGAUUUUCUUUUUUUUUAUAAAAAUAUAGCAUCCAAACUUUAAUUCAAAAAGGAAAAAUUUUAAAAAUAGAUUGCACAACUACACUUUUCAAGAGCAUUAAAGUCCGUGCCGCGUCCCCGUCCCUCAAUGUAUACAACUCAGGGGGACGGAGGGAGUAGUAUUUUGUAAUGUAAUAUAUUAUUAACUUCUAUAAUGAGAUAAAUAGUGUAUAUUGAUAAAAUAUUUCUGUUCUAAUUGGGGACCGGUAUUAAAAUCUAAUAAUAAUCAAUAUAUUUUAAAAAUAAUCUCAUUCAAAUUACAAAUAGUUCCUUUAUAAUAUCUUGUAUGCCAUAUUACAAAAUCUUACUAAUUUAGAUAAUUUUAUCAAAUAAAAGUAUUAUUUUAAUUUUGAGAAAAUAGUGUACAUAUUCUAUACAUUAGCAUGCAAAUUAGUUAUAAUUUAUUUUGUUCAAAAAAUUUGAACUUUGAAAAAUUGUGGGGUUAAAAGAUUAUUAGUAAUCUACGAGACUUACUACUCUAUAAACCAUUUUGUACAUGCUACGUAGCUAGUCCUAGAUCCUAUCCCUCUUGGACUCAUAUAGUCAUAUCAACUCACUCUACCUCCACACAAAACAAAUAAAACCUCAGGUGAAUACAAACACAAACACCUUGAUACUCGGACCUCCUCUCGCAAUCUCUGUAUAACACAACAACGUUACCCUGUUUUUUCCUCCAUUGAUCUCUCCAAAAAUCGUCUCGCCGUGUCCAGCACGGCCGAGCACGACGAUACUGCUCAAAAUUCUCGAUUUUUUGACCAACCAUGACGGCCCUUAAUUCUCCUCCUCCCAACCGGAACCAAGCCCUCCUCCGCUCCUCCUCCUCGGAAUAUAAUCCCUCGUCUCGAAAGCGCUUCACGGAGGUGGCAGGCGGUGCAACAGCAGAAUGUGCAGCCGUUGCAUGCUGCUGUCCGUGCGGCAUUUUGAACAUGCUCGUCUUGGUUAUGUACAAGCUUCCUGCAGGCCUCUUUCGCAAGGCCUUGAGGCAUAAGAGGCGAAGGCGGAUCAUGAAGAAGGCGGGAUUGCUUUCAGCCCCUAAUUUGGGUAAAUGUGAUUGCAAGGAGGCUGAAAUUUUUACCAUGACGAGUAUUGAUCANAUAAAAAUAUAGCAUCCAAACUUUAAUUCAAAAAGGAAAAAUUUUAAAAAUAGAUUGCACAACUACACUUUUCAAGAGCAUUAAAGUCCGUGCCGCGUCCCCGUCCCUCAAUGUAUACAACUCAGGGGGACGGAGGGAGUAGUAUUUUGUAAUGUAAUAUAUUAUUAACUUCUAUAAUGAGAUAAAUAGUGUAUAUUGAUAAAAUAUUUCUGUUCUAAUUGGGGACCGGUAUUAAAAUCUAAUAAUAAUCAAUAUAUUUUAAAAAUAAUCUCAUUCAAAUUACAAAUAGUUCCUUUAUAAUAUCUUGUAUGCCAUAUUACAAAAUCUUACUAAUUUAGAUAAUUUUAUCAAAUAAAAGUAUUAUUUUAAUUUUGAGAAAAUAGUGUACAUAUUCUAUACAUUAGCAUGCAAAUUAGUUAUAAUUUAUUUUGUUCAAAAAAUUUGAACUUUGAAAAAUUGUGGGGUUAAAAGAUUAUUAGUAAUCUACGAGACUUACUACUCUAUAAACCAUUUUGUACAUGCUACGUAGCUAGUCCUAGAUCCUAUCCCUCUUGGACUCAUAUAGUCAUAUCAACUCACUCUACCUCCACACAAAACAAAUAAAACCUCAGGUGAAUACAAACACAAACACCUUGAUACUCGGACCUCCUCUCGCAAUCUCUGUAUAACACAACAACGUUACCCUGUUUUUUCCUCCAUUGAUCUCUCCAAAAAUCGUCUCGCCGUGUCCAGCACGGCCGAGCACGACGAUACUGCUCAAAAUUCUCGAUUUUUUGACCAACCAUGACGGCCCUUAAUUCUCCUCCUCCCAACCGGAACCAAGCCCUCCUCCGCUCCUCCUCCUCGGAAUAUAAUCCCUCGUCUCGAAAGCGCUUCACGGAGGUGGCAGGCGGUGCAACAGCAGAAUGUGCAGCCGUUGCAUGCUGCUGUCCGUGCGGCAUUUUGAACAUGCUCGUCUUGGUUAUGUACAAGCUUCCUGCAGGCCUCUUUCGCAAGGCCUUGAGGCAUAAGAGGCGAAGGCGGAUCAUGAAGAAGGCGGGAUUGCUUUCAGCCCCUAAUUUGGGUAAAUGUGAUUGCAAGGAGGCUGAAAUUUUUACCAUGACGAGUAUUGAUCAGGAGGUGAUGGUCAAGCCUAUUACGACGGACGAUGAUGUUUUGGAUUUUUACAAGGACGAGGGUAUGAUGAAAGUGGAGAAGGAAAUGUGGGAUCAGUUUUGUCAGACUGGUUUCUGGAGGAAUCCGUCUCAGAGGCUCGUGUUUUAGCCAUGAUAUUUUGAUAUCGAUGAUGAUGUUGCCAAGUGCUCAUUCGUGUAUACUAUCAUACAAAAUAUUGUGUAAUUUAUCUGAUUAUGAAAAGAGGGGAUUAUAUAUUUUAGUUAUGUUUUGUAUUUUCCCCUGAUGAUUGAUUAGAUAUCAUGUAUAGGGAGGGAUUAGGGGAUGAGUCAUAGUUUUGAUCAUGUAUCUUAGUGUUGAUUUUGGAUUCAAAGCACUUCUGCUUGCACACGCGUGAUGAUUAUGGAUUGUCUUUCAUCAUGGAGCAAUGCUUUGAUUUUGCCAGAUAUAAAUCAAGUAUUGUCUGCAAUGCAGCUAUUAUAUGCAAGUUGUGUUCUCAAAGUUAUGAUUACGCGAUUCUUGAAUAGAUGGCUUGCUUGUUUGCUUAUUGAAUCAUCUGUAACUUUCAACUUCAAUCUGC
rnacentral:lncRNA from 1 species